CUUCUUCUGUUGGUUCUAAUCCCAUUUACAAAUUCAGGUUGAACUUGCAGAGAAGCUUCCUCACAUACAAUCACUUUGUAUUCAUGAGAUGGUUACUCGAGCGUUCAAGCAUGUACUUAAAGGAGUCAUCGCAUCUGUUGACUAUUUAUCAGACCUAUCUGCAGCUAUAGCUUCUUCCCUAAAUUUCUUAUUUGGCUGUUGUGAGAUGGAAGAUGACCAAAGCUUGAAUGACGAUCAUAUCCUCAGAUUGCAGUGGCUACGAACAUUUCUUGGCAGAAGAUUUGGUUGGUCCCUGAAAGACGAGUUUCAGCAUUUGAGAAAGAUUUCAAUUCUACGUGGGCUUUGCCAUAAGGUAAGGUACUGUCUUUUCGGUUCCUUUGGCAGUGGAUUAUUUUCAAAGCUUGAAUUUUGCUUGUAAACUUUACCCAGGUUGGGUUGGAGUUGGUUCCAAGAGAUUAUGAUAUGGAAUGCCCAAACCCAUUCACGAGAGAUGAUAUUGUCAGCAUGGUUCCUGUGUGCAAGGUGAGACUAUGGGGAUCUUUCAGUUUUCUAUUAUUGCCUUCAACACAUUCAAUUGACUCUUAAGUAAGUAGCACUGCUUGAUUUACCAGAGCAACUUUGUGAUUUUCAUUCUUUAACUGAUUAAGGUUUAUUUAUUCAUAAAUUAAAUUGGAAGUUUGAAAAAAUGUGACCUUUGUAUUGAAUCUGCUUCGAACGAAUGCAGUUUUUAUGUACCUACUUUAGCUUUUGUUUGUCUUUUAUUGGCUCUAGCUCCUGAUCAUACCAUACCAUUGGCAGAUAUGUAAAUCGUGCCUUAUUCCUUUUGCAUUUUACUUGUGGACUUUCACAUCCAAACACGGCUGCAACAUACAUAAAUGUGGCUAUGAUGGAAGCGGGCAUGGGAAAUGUUCAUCUUUCUCUUAGAUAUUUGCAUGAAGCCCUUAAAUGCAACCAAAGACUAUUAGGAGGUGACCAUAUACAGGUUUCUCUCUCUCUAUUUACGCAUGUAUACACACUCUUUAGAAUUAUAAAUCUUUCUGUAAACUCAGAAUUUUGUUUGAUUUCUUCACGUGACAGACAGCUGCAAGUUAUCAUGCCAUAGCCAUAGCUCUUUCUUUGAUGGAGGCAUAUUCACUAAGUGUGCAACAUGAGCAAACUACACUUAAGAUUCUCCAAGCAAAGCUUGGACUAGAAGAUCUGCGUACUCAGGUAACUACAUGUAGUCAUAUUUUAAUUGGUUCUGUUGUGCAAUUUGGCUAGUUGGCUUUUCUCUUGUCAAUCUUUUACAGGUGAUAUUAUGAUAUAAAACAAAUUGUAUUGGAGGCAUAUUUUUGGUGUCAAAUAUGGAUAUGACUCAUUCAUUAAUCGUAUCGAAAUAUCAAAAUACGGAUAUGACCCGUUUAUUAAUCGUGUUGACUUGUUUAAUAUUAAAUACAAACAAAUUAAAAAUUAAUUUUAAAAUAACAAAUGUGUCAAAAAAUUGAAUUAUAAAUAAGUUAAAAUGACAUAAGUAUGACAUGAAUAAGUUUAUAACAUAAUGUGAGUAUGACAUGAGUCAUUAAUUUAGUGUUUAGUAUAUAUUUUAGUUUUUUUUUCCAAUAAUAUUAACACAUAAUAAUUGAUAUUUGUGCUAUAAACGUAUAAUCAUAUUGAGAUGGUCCAAAACAGAUACGACAUGGUUAUUUAUCGUGUUGUGUCAACUUAUUUAUUAUUCGUGUCAAUCGUGUUGUAAUCCAUUUUCCCACCUCUAAUCUUAACUGUCGUAAGAGAAUUUCUCAAGUUCCAUAUUAUUGAUGGGAAGAGAUUUUUGUUAUUUUGUUGUAUUUUUUUUCGUUUUACAGGAUGCUGCAUGGCUGGAGUAUUUUGAAUCAAAAGCUCUAGAGCAGCAAGAAGCGGCACGGAAUGGAACUCCAAAGCCAGAUGCGUCCAUUGCGAGUAAAGGUCACCUUAGGUAUUAACAGGGUAUUCCCACAUUACUUGUUUCUAAAUUGUUGAUUAUUUCUUGUGGCACCAAGACCUAUAAUGAUCGCUUUUUGCAGUGUAUCAGAUCUCCUGGAUUACAUUAGUCCUGGUCAAGAUUCUAAAAGAAGCGAAGCACAUAGGAAACAACGACGUGCAAAGGUAGUAUAUACUUAGUGCCUGUUUAGUAUGACUUAUCUAAUAAUCAUAAAUUUUUAUUUAAUCCCAUAAGCUGUUAUCAAUUUUUUUUUUUUUUGUUUAACUGUUUUUUUCGUAGAGCUCUUGAAAAUUAAAUAAGUUAUUUUGCCUCUACUACCAAAAGCUCAAAUUUUGUGCUUUUGAGAGUAGAGGUUAAAAAGUUUUUUUUAAAUGUUAAAAUAUCUAAAAUAUUUUCUACUUAUUUGACAAUCUUAUUUUAUUCUUUUCAAAACAUAACUUUAAAAAAUUUGCUUAUUAAAGUAAUUUUAUAAUUUUUAAUAAAAGCUCUUAUUGACAACCAAACAACACAAAUUUUUUGGGUAAAAACUUUACUUAUAAAAUCUUUACUAACAAAAGCUCUACUCAGAUAAGAUCUAUUUGAAAAGCUAUGUCAAAUGAAGCAUUAAGCCUGCUACUGUUCUCUGUUCCUUUUUUCUUGUGAUGUCAUCUGAAUGGAUUCUUAAACUAAUUGUAGUUAGGAUUUGGUAUUUUAGAGUACACUCUGCUGGCUGAUUACACGAGUAAACUUGUUGUCCAUGCAAAAUGCAACUAUAUAUCAGCAGGAUAAUAGUUCUACUUUUCUGAGUGAACUCUGAAGGCACCAAUUAUAACAUCCAUUUCUAGCAUAGAAUCCCCCGCCCAACAAAAAGAAAUCUAACAUGCUUUUACAGAUCGUAGACAUGACUGAAACUUUAGAAGUUUCUGAUCUAUUGAUGGCCAUAGAUUGGGCCAGCUGAUAGUUAGUAGGCAAUGAUGGAGGGUUGCUUGGUCAAGCUGCUAGUUCUUUGGAAAUUCAGAGAUGAUGAGCAGAACGAGUGAUAGUUUUUGUUUUCCCCCGUAAUCUUGAACAGAGUGGGAAGAAAUAGGGGUGGCAAAACGAAUAAACGAAUCGAAUUCGAAUUGAAUCGUAAACGAAUUGGGUCAAAAUUCUAUGGAUUCGGAUUCGAUUCGUUUAUUAAACGAAUUGAAAUUUCAGGAUUCGGAUUCGAUUCGUUUAUUAAACGAAUAUUCGGUUCGAUUCGUUUAAUUCGUUUAAUAGAAUUGAUAAACGAAUCGAAUCGAAUCGAAUCCAGAUUCGUUUAUUAUUCGUUUAUCCUUUACGAAUCCAUAACGAAUCGAAUCAAAUUAGGAUUCGUUUACAAUUUGUUUAGAAAAUAUAAUUAAUAAACAAAAUUAAGUAAAAAAAACAAAUUUAAUAUCCCACAACAAAAUACAAAUAAUUCAAAUUAUAUUAUACAGUCAUCCAAAUACCAAAUACCAAAUCCUUAAUAUUACAAAUAACAAUAAUUCAAAUUCAAAUUAUAAAGAAAUGUAAUUUCUUUAAUUCUCUUCAUUUGUCUUUGUCACCUUGAAAACAAAAAUCCUACACCAAAAAGUAAAUAAAGUGUUAUUAACAUGCUGCAAUAUUGAUAAUAGUCAUUGUAAAAUUUCAAAAAUCAAAUAUAUAGCAAAUUUGUAGCAUUUUCAAGGAAAUAAUAAUUGAACAAGAUAAAAACUUUACCUAACAAUAUUUCAAAAAUCAAAUCUAUUCAUCAUGUAUGCCAAAUUCUAACCCAGCAAUAUUCCUAAUGCACAAUAUUCCAAUACACAAAAUAUUAACAAUACAACAUAAUAAAUUAUAAAUUCUAAUACUAAAAAAAAAUUAAUCCAAUAUUUGUGGGGGCUUAUUCCUUAUCCUACAGAUAAUUUUUAACACCAUAAUCGAUUUAUACAUAAUUUCAUAAUAUUUUCCGAACAAUACAAAACAUUUUCUAAACCAUAAUUUCAUAAUAUUCUACAAUACAAAAUUUCUCAAUAAUUCAACCAUAAUCUCAUGAUAUUACCCUGAGUUGGUGAUGGCUUGUUGAUUCGGGUCGCUUGGGAAUUAAAUAAGCACUUAAACCUACCUUGCAUCUUCCUGAUUGCUGUUACGAGUCAAAGAAAAAUGAGAACAGAACUGAAACUUGGCAUAAUUAAUGCUCAAAUAAAUUACAACAUGCCCUGUCAAAUGUGGAUAAAACACAUAAACUGUGAGCAAAAGGUUUUUUUUUUUUUUUUUUUUGGCAUUGUCUUGCAGAAAGCAGCCGGCCUGGGCAAAUCAUCCAUCUGACUCCGAGAGGUCUACAUCAAUAUAUAUUAUGUCAAAGGAGGUGUUAUACACUUAUAAAAUCUAAAUAAGAACAUACUGUAUAUAAUUAAUAGCAUUAAAACCUUGAUUAUGGAUUGAUUUCCUAGAGAACAACUUAAUUACUGCUUCGUACUGCGCAAAAGAAAAAUAUAUUCAUUUAUAUCUCUUGGUCCAAGAUGCAGCUGGUUAAUUAGCACUUUACGCAGAGCCACAGAAGCUGCUUCAAAAAUGGAUAGCUCGUUGCAGCUUCUCUGUUGGGUUCAUCGUCUAUGUUACUUAAAAUCAAAGUUACUACAAAAAGAUUAAAAGCGAUCUUCCUAAACGAGGAACUCACUCGGAACCUCUGGUUUAUCUUUUCCGUCACUGUUUCUACAAUACAAAAUUUCUCAAUAAUUCAACCAUAAUCUCAUGAUAUUACCCUGAGUUGGUGAUGGCUUGUUGAUUCGGGUCGCGCUCGCCUGGGUUUGCUGCUGCUGCACCGCCGCACGAGUUAGCUACUGCUGUGGGUUCGAGUGGCUGCGUCCCUCAAGUUCAAUCGAUGAUAGAUGAACGAUGGUGGUUGUAAUCGUCGGUUCGCUGUGAGUUAAUGACAGUGGCUACCGGCGGCUGUUUUUGUUGCUUGAUUGCUUCACUUGGUAUGGGUGGGUGAGUGUGAUUCGUGUGAGAGAGGUAGACAGCAACGAGACUACGAGAGCGGCUGAGUGAGGGGAGAAUUUUUAGGGAUUUAGCUUUAGGUUUCCGCUACUUUGUUUUUUUUUUUUUGUUAUUUACUUAAAUUUACAAUAUUAACCUUCAAAUUUUAAAAAGUUUUCAAAUAAAUUUAAGAAUAAAAAAGUAAUUUAAUUAAAUGAAUAAUAAAUGAAUUUUAACGAAUCGACCCGUAUUCGAUUCGUUUAUGACCCAUUUAUUAAACGAAUUCUAAACGAAUAAACGAAUCUAAAUUUUCAAACCCGCAUUCAAUUCGUUUAAUUAACGAAUCGAAUCGAAUUCACCCAUUUAUUAAACGAAUCAAUUUUUUCAAACCCAAACCCAUUUAAUUCGCAUCGAAUCGAAUCGAAUAAACGAAUCCUGACCCAUAUUGCCACCCUUAGGAAGAAACCAUUAAUUUGAAGUGCAAUGGACGGAUAUGACAGAUCUAUCAUUUUGGCUAGUAGAUGGAGUUCUUCCAUUCUACUGUUAUUUACUGGUUGUUUUUAUUGAUUCUAGAAAACAUUUUUCGAUUUGGCAGUUGGAGUUUUUCCCUUUUUUUUUUCUCCCCAUUUUGUAGGCCUUAGAGAACCAAAUAAUACUACAUAUUAGAUAGACAGGAUUAUUAUGUGCUAAUUUGAAGUAUUACCUGGUUGACAAUUUAAGACACUAGUAAAGUAUUUCGCUAUGAUUAUUUUUUUUUGAGAAUUCCAUGAUUCAAAAGGCCGAAGAAUUUCAUUAGUUUAACAUAGUAUAUAUUAACAUAAUUCCUCACUGAGUGUUUUUUUCAACAUUUCAGGCAUGUACAUAUCAAAUUCCCAUUUAUGUUCCACUGGAUUCUGCCUCAUGUUAUGUCCGGAUUUGUUGUAAUAAAUUUUGCUACUGUAAAAUUACAAGAUGAUUGUAACUUAAAAUGAACUAUUUCUAUUUGCUCAAUUUUUGACAUUUUAUAUGCAUACAAGUUAAAAAGGUUUUGUUUAUUUUUAUUUUUUUAUUUUUUUAUUUUUUCAGGUAAUGCAGAUUAGGGAAAAGAUUCAUGGAGCACAUCAUGAUAUGAUGGUGGAAGAUGCACUGCCCCAUGAUUGAUUGAAAAAGAGUAUGACUAUAGUGGAAAGCAAGACCGAGGAAGUAAUAGAAGACAGUGUUCAACCUGAAGAGCCAGAAGAGAAUGAUGAUAUUACUAGAUAUGGACCGGCAAUUUCAGGUGAGUUUGUGGAAGAAACAAAUUCAGAUGAGGGGUGGCAAGAAGCCAAUCCAAAAGGUAGGUCAGGAAAUGCUGCUGUUCGGAAGCUCAGCCGGAGGCAACCUGUUCUUACAAAGCUAAAUGUCAAUGGUUGUGAACAUUCAAAUCUUAGAGAAAAAGGCAAUAGACGGGAAAUUGUAUCUCCAGCACGGGAAAAAGCUUCAAGGACCACCACCACUGAGUUAACAGGCAUGAAGGAUUCAAUUAAAUUGCAGGCAAAAGCUUCUGUCUCCAAAGUUUAUGCAAGUCCACCAAACCUUACUGCCAUGGAUUCCAAGUCGCUGUCUUACAAAGAAGUAGCUGUGGCACCACCAGGUACGGUUCUAAAGCCAUUACCAGAGAAACCUGAUGAAAAAAUUGAAGAAAAAACUGAAACACAGAUGUGCAGUAAUGCUCCUGAGACAUCAAAGGCGGAGUUGAAUAACCAUUUCUCUCCCGUUGAAGAUGCGCCAGUUGAUGGUCAGUCUCAAGAAACUCAUGGAAGUGUAAUUCAAUCUGAAACUACUGCUGCAGAUACCGAGGAAGUUCCUUCUUCUUCUAAUGAGGAAAAGCCCAUGGAAACAAAUGGGAGUAAGCUUUCUGCCACAGCUGAACCAUUCAACCCAGGAGCUGUCUCCAUGACUCAUCUGCUAAACUCUGUAGCAGCCACGAGUAUUUAUGAUGCGAGAACUGGUCAAGGUAUGCUUGCAGAACCUGCUGUACCUUCGGCUGCUGCUAGAGUUCCUUGUGGGCCAAGGUUGCCUCUCUAUUAUAGAAAUAAUUAUUCUUACAUUAUGAAACAUGGAUUUCCAAAAUACCACUCUUCCAUUAUGGAAAGAAACCUGUUGGGGCCUUCAAGAAUCAUGAACCCGCAUGCACCCGAGUUUGUGCCAAUGAGAGGUUGGCAAAUAAAUCCUGGAUAUGCAGAUUCAAAUGUUUCAAAUGAGUCGAACUCUUCAAAUGACACAAGUGAGGCAGACAAUGAGAAACUUGACAAAAUGUCCAGUAUUCAAGGCGAGGAUAAUACCUCAAGAAAGAGCAGUACAGAGGCGGAGAAGUCAUAGCUGGCAAGACAGAUACUACUUAGCUUCAUUGUAAAGUCAGUCCAGCAUAAUAUGGAUGCUCCAAGUCAAUCUUCAGGCUGCGAAAAGAAGAUUGGGUAUUCAGAAAAUUCUUCACAUGCAAUUGCAAAUGAUAGUGCUAUCAUAAAGAUCCUUUAUGGAAAUGAAAAGGGCAAAACAAACUUGGUAUCUCAGUCCAAUGAUCAAGAACAGCAAAAACCCAAAGAUGAAAACCAAAAAAGUGGGGAUGGUGAAGGAUUUAUAGUUGUCAGAAAACGGAGAAGAAACCGACAGCAGAUCACAAAUGGGGUAACUGAGAUGUACAAUCAUCAAUCCAUCUGUGCUUCUGUUCGUUAAAAGAGAGAGCAAAGGAAUAAAAUGCAAAGGUGCCAUCCUGUUUCUCCCAAUUUUAUUCGAAAAAUUUGUUAGUGAAUGUUGCUGUUGUAGAGAUGGUUAAAGUUUGGAGCAAGUUUUAAUCAAUACUUGAUUGUAUCAUUUUAGAUAUCCUCUCUGGAUGUUCUAAUAAAAUAUUUGUACAAAUCGGUUUCUUGUUUUGUUAAAAGAUUUUGUUUUGAUCAAUAAAUGAUGAUAAAUUAAUUGGGCGAUUUUCCUCAUCAAGAGAUCUGUGAUGUUGUUCUAUAAUGGAUUUUAAUGUUUUAGACUGAGAUUUGUAGUUAUGCCUCAAAUUAUUUGGUAUUUGGUUGGUGCGUGUGAACAAUACGUUCGGAAUGGAGUUGAACUGACUCACUGAUAGAUAGCUUACAUUUGCAGCUGAAGUUGCUGCACUGAUGAUAUUACAACUAACAUAGUAGUUGGCAAAAUUCCUUAUUCAAUUUAAAUUUGCAACCAACAGAAACUGAAGAAGAAGCCGUAAGUCUAAUCCUAAUGGAUGCAUAGCUGCUUGGAGAAAAGCCAACGGAGACAUAACACAGCACGGUAAGUUAUACACGGCAGAACCGUAUGUGCUAGUAAGCAGAGUCACCGAUGGAAAACAUAUUUGAAAAGCCAAUAGUAGCAUGUGUCAAUACAUCUAUCAAUGAAAUAGAACCACAGUCUGCGGCCGGACGAGUUUAUCCAAAGUGCUGCAAAUAAACCCAAAAUUACUGACACAUAGGAUGCUCCAAAACUCCAUCUUAAUGCCACCAUAUCAAUCACAGAAUCGCCUUCAUCUUCUCCUCCUCCUGUAGGUGUCGCUGGUGGUGCCAACGCAUUGCUGCAUUUCCUCUUUAUCAUUGAGCCACAAAGAGCCGAAUUACCUUUAUAACUGCUGUCAUCAAAGGUGGCAAACUGCUCUUUGUCUGGGAUUGGGCCUGACAAAUUGUUGUAUGACACGUUGAAGUUUGAUAAAAAGUUGAGGUCAGUUAGUUGAGGAGGAAUUCGGCCACUUAAUUUGUUGCGGGAAAGGUCCAGGCUCUCUAUCAUUUUCAGAUUGGAGAAGCUCUCUGGUAUAGCACCUGAUAGUAAAUUAUUCGACAGAUUAAGUGCACGAAUAUGUUGAAGAUGCCCAAUUUCCCAUGGAAUUUCUCCACUGAACUCAUUGCUCGACAAAUCCAGUCCAGCCAUGUCGACGAGACUGCGACCGAUGAAAAAUUCAUAUCGAUACUUCGUCACAAAUUCUACACCUACUUGUCUACCAUGUCGUUCACCUUGUGGCGGCGGAUCAAGAGUGGAAUUGUAGUAAGUAAAACUGAGAUCACGAGUUGACACAGCAAAUCCGGGUAUACUAUUUGGAUAUAUCACUUCAUAUCUGUUUACAUGUGGAUAAUCAUCAAUCGCUUCUCUCCAGAAUGACACGUUACCCAAGCAUGAAGGUAUCGGCCCAUUAAGUCUGUUAUGUGAAAGAUCCAUGAUACCUAAUUUUCUUAAUUGGCACAACUGAUUAGGAAUACGUCCUUGUAGAGAAUUCCCUCUCAAAAGAAGAAAAUGCAAAUUCGAAAGCUCGUUGAUCUGAUGAGGAAUCCUACCAAAAAGCUUAUUGUCCCUCAAAUCUAGAGUCAAUAAUGUAGAGCUUCUAAGCAAAGCAAUUGGAAUUAACCCAUUAAUUGCAUUGUUAUGCAGAUAAAUGUGCUCCACUGAUGAAAGAUUGGAGAGAGAUACCGUGGACCCAGACAAACUACCUUGCAAAUAAUUUUUUGACAUUAAAAGAACCCGAAGGCCUGAGAAGUUGCCAAUCCAGUGGGGAAUAUCGCUGGAUAACUUGUUGUUGGAUACAUCUAAUACCCCCAGCAAAGGGGAGCUCAACAAACCAUCUGUCAUCUUCCCACCGAAAUGAUUGUUGUCCAAAAGUAAGGAACGCAAAUGAGUCAAGUUCAUAAAAUUGGGAAAAAGUUGGCCAUAGAAAUUGUUAUUUGAUAGGUCCAACAUUUCUAAGGAGAGGCAACUAGAGAAUAUAGAUCGAGGUAAUUCUCCUGAAAAAUUAUUUCUAGACAAAUCCAAAGUAAUUAGCUCUUUCAUCUCACUGAUUGAAUAAGGAAUAUUACCUUCAAAACUAUUUUUGGACAUAACCAAAUAUAUCAAUUUCUGAAAGAUAAUACCCAAAUUCUCUGGUAGCUUACCAGAAAAAUUGUUACUGGAAAUAUCUAGAUAACGAAGCUUAUCGUAUUUGGCGUUGGGAAGUCGCGGAAGAAUUCCUGAGAAUGAGUUAUUCAACAAAAUCAAAACUUCUAAUCCUGUGUUGUUUUGCAACAACCAAGUUGGGAAAUUGCCAACCAACUGAUUGUGAGAGAGAUCAAGGAAUUUUAAGUUGUAUUGGUGUAAAAGAAAACUGGGAUUGACAUUUAAGUGGCAGUGAGAUAAUUGGAGAACCUUGAGAGGAUAUGUGGGGAGCCAGUUUUCAGUUUUCACUUGCAACAUAUCGUUUCCUGACGAGAGUCGCAAGACCUCAAGCUUUGAAUGAUUAGCCAAUGAAUUUAUUGAGAAUGCUCCUUGAAAAUCGAUGAAAGAGAGAUCCAAAUAUUCAAGUGAUGUGAGGUUGGCCAAGGCAGAAGGAAAGUUUCCACUUAACUGAUUGUAAGAAAUAUCAAGAACUUUGAGAUGGGUCAAGUUGUUGAGACACUGAGGAAGGUGAACCACAAAAUUAUUUGACUUUAAAUCCAACUCAAGAAGAUUCUUCAAAUUACAUAUUCCUGAAAGUGAAAAUAAAAAGCUCAGAUUUCAUAAAACGAAAACUAAUUAUAGAGCAUUCAAUCAUAAACCCAAUAUAAGACUUAUAAAACGGACAUGAAAUCAAAUUGUCUAAGUAUUUUGGUCAACAUAAAUAAUAAUAGAAUGAUAUGAAUUUAUUUCUCAUAUAAUAUGAUGUUGAUUGCAAAAGCGUUUCAAUUAAUCUAACAAUAAAAUAAUAAUAAUAAUAAUAUAAAAGCGGUCAUCAAUUCGUGCUCAUCAUAAUCCAUUCAAAAAGCGUUUCAGCAAUUCUCAUUGUUUAAAAUAAUGAUUUUCUGCGGAAGAGUUUGUUGAAUUCGUCUUUUUCGUUGGAUAUUGGUUUUCUAAUCUCUAAAUUUGUUGGAUAAUGUAAAGAGAAACUCAUAAUAUAUUAGUUGCUUUCUUAAACUUUAUUUAUUCUUCUCAUAGCAUUAAAAAAAUAUAUAUAUUUGCCCAAGCGGAAAAAAAAAAAAAACUGGUCUUCAUAUUUAAUUUGACCAACAAGUCACUGGGAAGUAGGAAUUGUGCAUCAGUAAUGCAAAUAUUGGGUGCGUUGGCAUUGUUUUUAUAUGCUGUUUUUUAUUUUUUGAAUUUAGAAAAUAUUAGAUACGUGUUCGGUAGAUUGUUUCUGAAAAUAUUUUUAAAAUAUAAAAUUCAUUCUACACAUUUUAACCAGUCGAGGGUAGAAUUGAAAAAAUAAUUUUUUUUUUCAUAAAGCCAAAGAGAUGAAAAUAUUGAAUUUAUACAGUACUUUAUAAUUCAUAAGAUUUUUGCUUCUUUAUAUUCACAAAUCAGUUUGAUCAAUAAGAAUUUUUUUAAAAUUUAUUUGAUUUAACAAAAAAAACCUGUUAAUUAGACUUAUGUUUAUUUUUUUUUAUAUUUUCUAUUUAAAAAAUUAAAAAUGAGUGAGCAUGGGCAGAAACAUCAUUUUGUGGGGUAGAAACGUCAUUUAAUUUACUAUUCUCAUUAAAAUUAAUGACAAAAGUUAAUAGAAUGUCACUCGCUCGAAUAUUUUUAAAAAAUGUCAUCUUCUUAAAAUUUGUUAAAACAUAUGUCACCUAGAGAUUAUUAUUCUUGUUGUUGUUGUUGUUGUUGUACCCAAAGACUCAAUUUCCUUCACAAAAAUCUUUUCUUUUUAUAUACAUUAUAAUAUUUAUGUUUUUAUAUAUUAACUAAAUCAAAUAUGUAGGGUUUAUCAUUUUUCUUUGAACAAAAAAAUAGAAGGAUCACCUAAUUUAUUCUUAAAAUUAAAAUAAUCAAUAUACAUUGCUUAAUCUUAAGUUUAUGGAAAUUAUUCCAAUAAUAAUUCUUUGAGAUAUUCUUACCAAACAUAUUUAUGUUUUUCUCAUUUUUCAGAUUAUUUUUGAAAAUGAUACUGAACACAUUUUUAAAUUUUAAAAAUAAAUUUAAAAAUAGCAUUUUCAUUUUUAUUUUGUAAAAACAACAAUUAGAAAACAAUAUUGGGCUAUUAUUUAUCAUGUUUCAACAUAAAAACACAGUGUAAAUUGUUUAAUAUGGGUUUCUAGAGAAUUUUUUAUGUUACUAUUACUCAAAUUCAAUGCUUCCAAGCUUUUGAAUUUAGCUAAUCUUGCAUCAAGAAUUAAUGAACAUAAGAAAAAAAAAUUUCAUUCAGAACUAUAAAUAUUGAAAUAAAGAUAAAUAUCAUUGUUGAUUUUUUUAUAAAAAUGAUUUAGAAUUAAGAGAGAGUGAAAGAAAUGAGUGGGUUAUGUAGGAAAAUGGUGAUAGAAUAUCAAGUACUACACUUUGUAUAGAAAGCAGUGCUUCUAAUUUAAAUUUGAUCUAGUUUAAAGCAAUUAAAAAAUGAAAAUAUAUUAUCAUCUUGAUUAACAUCUAAAACAAUUUUUAUCAUUGGAGGAAGUGAAUUGUUAUAUACCUUGAAUUGCAGUUAUCCCACAAUAACCAAGAUCCAAUGUUUUCAAGUUUGGCAAAUCUGCGAAUCCUACAUGCGCCGAUAAAAAAUGAAAAUAUUACAUUUAAAGGCAUUGUAUGUGAUCCGCGCGUUUGAUGAACAUUAAUUCUACAUUUAAUUUGCUUCUUAUCUCAAAUUCAGUGGCCUACCUAGCGUUGUCAGAUUUUGAUUAUCGCGUAAAUACAGCACUUGCAGGUUUGUCAAAUUUGCUAAUCCUGUUAAAAAAAACAUAAAUUUUGUCAAUAACAGAUAUGUCACUCUCGUCUAAAUUGUUUAAUUAAAAUAAUAUGGUAAAUAUUGAAUGAAAAUUAAUUGUGCACAUUGUUAAUUUUUUUGUUUCUAUUGAUAUUUUAAUAUAUACCGUCACUUUUAGCAUUACCAAGAUUUGGAGUGUUUGAAUCAUAAUUUGUAAAUUAGUUUGCACUUUGAGUAAACUUGAAAAUGUGAAAAAAGCAAUUAAAAAAAAUGCAAAUAUAUCAUCAUCUUGAUUAACAUCUAAAACAAUUUUUGUCAUUGGAAGAAGUGAAUUGUUAUAUACCUUGAAUUGUAGUUAUCCCAGAAGAACAAAGAUCCAAUGUUUUCAAGUUUGGCAAAUCUGCGAAUCCUACAUGAGCCGAUAAAAAAUGAAAUUAUUACAUUUAAAGGCAUUGUAUGUGAUCCACGCGUUUGAUGAACAUUAAUUCUACAUUUAAUUUGCUUCUUAUCUCAGAUUCAGUGGCCUACCUAGCGUUGUCAGAUUUUGAUUACCGCUUAAAUCCAACACUUGCAGGUUUCUCAAAUUUGCUAAUCCUGUUAAAAGAAGGUAAAUUUUGUCAAUAACAGUUAUGUCACUCUCGUCUAAAUUGUUUAAUUAAAACAAUAUGGUAAAUAUUGAAUGAAAAUUAACUGUGCACAUUGUUAUUUUUUUUUGUUUCUAUUGAUAUUUUAAUAUAUACGGUCACUUUUAGCAUUACCAAGAUUUGGAGUGUUUGAAUCAUAAUUUGUAAAUUAGUUUGCACUUUGAGUAAACUUGAAAAUGUGAAAAAAGCAAUAAAAAAAAUGCAAAUAUAUUAUCAUCUUGAUUAACAUCUACAAUUUUUGUCAUUGGAGGAAGUGAAUUGUUAUAUACCUUGAAUUGUAGUUAUCCCACAAAAACCAAGAUCCAAUGUUUUCAAGUUUGGCAAAUCUACGAAUCCUACAUGCGCCGAUAAAAAAUGAAAAUAUUACAUUUAAAGGCAUUGUAUGUGAUCCGCGCGUUUGAUGAACAUUAAUUCUACAUUUAAUUUGCUUCUUAUCUCAGAUUCAGUGGCCUACCUAGCGUUGUCAGAUUUUGAUUACCGCUUAAAUCCAACACUUGCAGGUUUCUCAAAUUUGCUAAUCCUGUUAAAAGAAGGUAAAUUUUGUCAAUAACAGUUAUGUCACUCUCGUCUAAAUUGUUUAAUUAAAACAAUAUGGUAAAUAUUGAAUGAAAAUUAACUGUGCACAUUGUUAUUUUUUUUUGUUUCUAUUGAUAUUUUAAUAUAUACGGUCACUUUUAGCAUUACCAAGAUUUGGAGUGUUUGAAUCAUAAUUUGUAAAUUAGUUUGCACUUUGAGUAAACUUGAAAAUGUGAAAAAAGCAAUAAAAAAAAAUGCAAAUAUAUUAUCAUCUUGAUUAACAUCUACAAUUUUUGUCAUUGGAGGAAGUGAAUUGUUAUAUACCUUGAAUUGUAGUUAUCCCACAAAAACCAAGAUCCAAUGUUUUCAAGUUUGGCAAAUCUGCGAAUCCUACAUGCGCCGAUAAAAAAUGAAAAUAUUACAUUUAAAGGCAUUGUAUGUGAUCCGCGCGUUUGAUGAACAUUAAUUCUACAUUUAAUUUGCUUCUUAUCUCAGAUUCAGUGGCCUACCUAGCGUUGUCAGAUUUUGAUUACCGCUUAAAUCCAACACUUGCAGGUUUCUCAAAUUUGCUAAUCCUGUUAAAAAAAGGUAAAUUUUGUCAAUAACAGUUAUGUCACUCUCGUCUAAAUUGUUUAAUUAAAAUAAUAUGGUAAAUAUUGAAUGAAAAUUAACCGUGCACAUUGUUAUUUUUUUUGUUUCUAUUGAUAUUUUAAUAUAUACCGUCACUUUUAGCAUUACCAAGAUUUGGAGUGUUUGAAUCAUGAUUUGUAAAUUAGUUUGCACUUUGAGUAAACUUGAAAAUGUGAAAAAAGCAAUUAAAAAAUGCAAAUAUAUUAUCAUCUUGAUUAACAUCUAAAACAAUUUUUGUCAUUGGAGGAAGUGAAUUGUUAUAUACCUUGAAUUGUAGUUAUCCCACAAGAACGAAGAUCCAAUGUUUUCAAGUUUGGCAAAUCUGCGAAUCCUACAUGCGCCAAUAAAAAAUGAAAAUUUAAAGGCAUUGUAUGUGAUCCGCGCGUUUGAUGAACAUUAAUUCUACAUUUAAUUUGCUUCUUAUCUCAAAUUCAGUGGCCUACCUAGCGUUGUCAGAUUUUGAUUAUCGCUUAAAUACAACACUUGCAGGUUUGUCAAAUUUGCUAAUCCUGCUAAAAAAAACAUAAAUUUUGUCAAUAACAGAUAUGUCACUCUCGUCUAAAUUGUUUAAUUAAAAUAAUAUGUUAAAUAUUGAAUGAAAAUUAAUUGUGCACAUUGUUAUUUUUUUGUUUCUAUUGAUAUUUUAAUAUAGACCGUCACUUUUAGCAUUACCAAGAUUUGGAGUGUUUGAAUCAUAAUUUGUAAAUUAGUUUGCACUUUGAGUAAACUUGAAAAUGUGAAAAAAGCAACUAAAAAAAAUGCAAAUAUAUUAUCAUCUUGAUUAACAUCUAAAACAUUUUUUGUCAUUGGAGGAAGUGAAUUGUUAUAUACCUUGAAUUGUAGUUAUCCCACAAGAACCAAGAUCCAAUGUUUUCAAGUUUGGCAAAUCUGCGAAUCCUACAUGUGCCGAUAAAAAAUGAAAAUAUUACAUUUAAAGGCAUUGUAUGUGAUCCGCGCGUUUGAUGAACAUUAAUUCUACAUUUAAUUUGCUUCUUAUCUCAGAUUCAGUGGCCUACCUAGCGUUGUCAGAUUUUGAUUAUCGCGUAAAUACAACACUUGCAGGUUUGUCAAAUUUGCUAAUCCUGUUAAAAAAAACAUAAAUUUUGUCAAUAACAGAUAUGUCACUCUCGUUUAAAUUGUUUAAUUAAAAUAAUAUGGUAAAUAUUGAAUGAAAAUUAAUUGUGCACAUUGUUUAAUUAAAAAAAUUAUCGUCUAAAGAACCAUGUAUAUAAUAAUUAGAACUCAAAUCCAACGCUUCCAAGUUUUUUAAUUUAGCUAAUCUUGCGCCAAGAAAGAAGAAAAAUCUUAGUAAUCGUCUUUGGGAAAAAAUAAAGAAUUAAGAAAUUAGAUUAAAUAAUUGUAGUAAUAAAGCAUAUGACUCAGAUCUAAUUAAAUUGAUCAUAUACUCAAAAAAAAUUUUUUUUUAAUUUUACUAAGAAAUUAGAAAGUAAUUUUUUGCCGUGUACCAAUUGUAGUCAAGUUUGUCAAGUUUUCCAGUCAAAAAUUGGUUUUAAUUUGACAUUAUACAUGUGUAAAAAUUAAGGGCAUAAUAAUAUCACAAGGAAUUUGGGUAGUGACUUGUUGCCGUGUGCUGACUUGGUAAUUAUCUCAGUAGCCUACCUAGCCUUGUUAAAGAGCCACUAGUUAUAUUGAAGUUCAAGCUUAGAUCCAACACUUGCAAGUAUCUCAAAUUUGCUAAUCCUGCUCAGAAAACAUUAAUUUUGAUCAAGACAAUAUAAAUAUACAUUUUAAUUAAGAAAUUAAUUAAGUUGCCUGACAUGUAUAUCUGCUGGCCUGAAACGUAUAUGUAUACCUUGCUUGGUUCUGGAACCUUCAAUAGAAUUGGAAUUAAGAAUCAAAGUGGUAAGUGAAGUUAGUGUAUUCAAAUAUGGUAAUAUGCUGUCGUUGAAGAAAUUAAGACCAAGAUUUAAGAUCUUCAGCUGCUUCAAACUCCCAAAGCUAUCGUAAGCUGCAAAUGCAUAUGAAGUGUUAAUGUGUUAUUAUUAAUUAGUCACUGACAAAAUAUUUAUGGACGAGAAAUAAAUGUAUACAUAUAUACGGACCUCUAUUCUCAUAGAUGCCUGCAAACCCAUUCCCAGAUAAGUCAAGACUUUGCAGUUCUUCAAAAGGAUGAAACAAUGACAUAUUCAGAACCAAAACUCCCUCCCAAUAAACAAAGUUAUUGAUCAGAAGCGAAGCCGAAGUACUAUCAGAAUAAUUCAAUCUGUGUGUAUGAUUGAGUGAGAGUUGCAUCACGCGUCGUGUGGUGGCGCUGCACUUAACUCCCUCCCAAUUAUCACAACAAUCAGACGGCAUUCCAUCAUCCUCACCAACCCAUGAAGGAAGAAUUUUGUCAUCAUAUCCAAUAUCACUGACUGAUGAUAUGAAGAAGCUCUUGAUUUCCAACAGAGCAGUCCUCUCUGUUUCCAAGCAUCCUUUGUAUCCAUGCAUUUCAUUCAUCAAUACAAUAAUCCAAAUUAGUGACAUUAAUGAGAACUUAAUACAGGAAGUACUUUCCAUUGCAGAGCAACUUUUCAUUUGGUUAAAAUUCAAUGUGCAAUGAGCAACUUUCCAUUGCAGAGCAAUUUAUACUAAAAGUUUAUCGCAGGUCUUGCAAUUUGAUUGGCUGAAGACUUUUUUAAGACUUUCCAAUACAUUGCCAUCUUUGAAGACUUGUAAGCAUUCCAUGUUUUGCAACAUUCGACCAACGGGAAAAAGCACUUCAUUAAUACCCUGUGGAAAAUAUAGAUAAAGUGAUUGUAAACUAUAAAUUUUUCCAGUAGUUUGAUGGAGAUAAUCAUAACUAAUAAAAUAAAAGUUGACUGAGAGAAUUUAAAUAAUUUAACCGCAUGUUUGGAUUUCCAUUGCAUUAUCAGUCAAUCUAUUAAAUAAUGUGUUUUGAGAAGAAUUUGAUUGGUUGUUUGAUAAGUUUAAAUCAAUUUAUUAGAAAAUCAAUAAUUAAUCAACGUAAAUCUUCGUGUAUGUUUAGUUAGUGUGGCGUAGUCUGAAAUGACAAAACACAUAAAUGUUAUUUGAAGCUCUUGUGACCCUUUGUGUUCAUGCAUUCGGAUAAGGAAAGUUUCCAUUGCUCCAGUCUACACUCUUCACUACUAUUACAAUCACUUGAAAUGACAAAAACAGAAAUUUCGUAUGAACAUGGGACCGAUGUACGGGUCCAAUUUAAAUGACCCUUGCUAAUUUUGCAUAUAUUAUUGCAACUACGUGGAAAAUUAAAGUUGACUGACUUUCAAAUUAAGCCAACAAACAAGUGGCCAUCAACUCUUUUCCCUCUAUGAUUGGUUUUUUUUUUUUUUAAAUUGAAUUGUAUGAUUGGGUUUGCAUUGAAUUAUCCAACAAUCUAUUCAAGCAUUGAUAUUUGAUAUUCUCAAAUAUUUAAUGGGUUUUGAAAAUUAUUUACUAGAUUUUUGAUAAAUUGAUUUUUAUUAUUUGAUGAUCAAUAAUUAAUCAAGUAAUUUUCUAUAUAUAUAUAUAUAUAUUUGGUAAUUUACUCAUAAAAAGUGUGGAUCACAUUGAAAUGUUAUUUUAUAUGAUGCAUGGCAUACAGAGAGGUGCAGUUUAAAUAUGCAAAUAAUUUAUUUAUUAUAACAUGCAAUCAUUGAGUUAAAGCGCAAGCGUGAGUUUGGAUUUGAAAUAUUCAAAUAAUUUAUUUCAUUAUUGAUUCUUAAAUAACAUGCUUUGGAAUUAAUAGUUCGAUAGGAUGUUUGAUAUAUUGAAAUUUGUGAUAAUCAAUAAUCAACUAAUUUUCAUUCAUAUUUAAAAAUUUUAAUAAAUUACUCAUAAAAUUGUGGCGUAUAUUGAAAUGACAAUCAAUCUUGAUAUUGAUUGACAAUCAAUUUUUAUAGUGAUUGGCACUUAAGACAAUCAGUUUUGGUCUCUGUAAUGACUAAUGAAGAAUUGUAAGCCUGAAAUUCCACAUGUUGCAAUGUUGGACCAAUGAGGGAAAUGCUUCAUUAACAUUACAUGGAAAAUAAAUGUUGACUGACUUUCAAAUUAGGCCAACAUACAAGUAGUCGUUAAUUCUAUUUUUUCCAACAGUUGAUAAAGAUAGUCAGCUAAGAAAAGAAAAGUUGAUUGAGAUAAUUUAAAGAAUUUAAGCGUAAGUUUGGGUUUGAAAUUAUCAAAUAAUUUAUUCCAGUAUUAAUUCUUAAAUAAUGUACUUUGGAAUUAAUAACUCGAUAGGAUGUUUGACAUAUUGAAAUUUGUGAAAAUCAAUAAUCAAUUAUUUUUCAUACAUGUUUAGACAUUUUAAUAAAUUACUCAUAAAUUUGUGGUGUACACCGAAAUAAUAAGUUAAUAAAUUGAAACGAUAUCUAAAACUCUUGAGUCCCUUUGUAUCCUUGCAUUAAUUUGAAUCAAAGCUCGAAUUAAAAUCAAAGACCCAUAUUGAGAAUUUAUAUAAAUAACUUAAGAGUAUGAUUGGGUUUACAUUGAUUUAUAUAUAUCAAACAAUAUAUUCAAGCGCUGAUAUUCUCAAAAAAAGAAAAAAAAAAAGACAAUCAAUCUUUGCGUCAACUGAUAUUAUUGAUUGGUAAUAAAUCUUAGUCGUGAUUGACAAAGCUUGGGAAAAUCACUCUCGGUGAUUAAUAGUCUUCGUCCUCAUCUUUGUAUUGAUCGUUGUGGUAGAGGAUGAGUGGUGCGUAAGAGAGGGUUCAUCGCUUGCGGAAUUUUCGCGGCCAUUCAAGAAUCAGGAUGGUUGUUGUAGAAUUCCACUAGAAUUGGCCUUGCAAUUAGGGAAAGUUCAAUAUUAAUUUAUACUAAAAGUUUAUCAUAGGCCAAUCACAGUGACCACCAAAACCUAUGAAUGAUUAGUCCAUCGAAACCCAAUGUAUGCUCAAUUAAUAUUUCCUAUCAAGAUCAAAUUUUUCGCUCUAUUGCUUCACCAAUCAUGAGCAUAAAAGCUCGAUUUAUACAAAAUUAAGAAUUUAUGAAAAAAAAGUCACAAUUAUUAUAAUUGGAAGUUUGAUUGAUUUUUGAAGAUUGAUUCAAUCAAUCUUAAUGUUACUGGACAAUCGAUCUUAAUAUUAAUUCAAAAUCAAUCUUUAUAGCGAUUGGCACUGAUAAAGAUAAUUAGUUUUGGUCUCUAUAAUGACUGACGAAAACUUGUAGGACCUGGACCAAUGAGGAAAAACACUUCAUUAAUACUCCAUGGAAAAUAAAUGUUGACGGACUUUCAAAUUAAGCCAACAUACAAAUGGUUGUCAAUUCUAUUUUUUACAAAAAUUGAUGGAGAUAGUCAACUAAUAAAAUAAAAGUUGAAUGAGAUAAUUUAAAGAAUUUAGGCGUAAGUUUGGGUUUUAAAUUAUCAAAUAAUUUAUUCCACUAUUGAUACUUAAAAAAGUGCUUUGGAAUUAAUAAUUCAAUAGGAUGUUUGAUAUAUUGGAAUUUGUGAAAAUCAAUAAUCAACUAUUUUUUAUGAGUAAUGAUACAGCUACAAACUCUUGUACAAACUUAUUUUGUACAAACUGAUGUGGCAUGAUAAGAUUGGUUUAAUUAAAUAUCACUUGGCCCACAUGAUUUGUUUUUAUUAAUUUAUAUUUUCAUUCAACCAAUGAAUUAAUGCCACAUCAGUUUGUACAAAAUAAGUUUGUACAAGAGUUUGUGGCUGUAUCAUUACUCAUUUUUUAUACAUGUUUAGAAAUUUAUCCGGUGUGUAUAAGGGCUUGUAUAUUUCACAAUCAACUGAGAUUUUUUUUUGAAAGCCAAUAGAAACAUGAAUUAUAGUACAUCCAUCGAUUGACGUAUAAUUAUAAUCAUAUAAUCAAACACGCACACUACAAGACGACCUUCGAUUGACGUAUUCUGUCAACUAACCCAGGGACAUGGAGGAUGUCUUAACGUUAUAAAAAAAAAUUGAUGAAUAAUAUAGUUCCAGGCAGUGCUAAAACCAUAAUGUAUGCCAGUAUGAGUUUAUCCAAAGUCACCGGCUACACCAAUAUCAUAGUGACAUAGGAAGCGAUGAGGAAAUUUACGAAAGAUUUAUUAAAUGAUCAGAGACUUUCUGCAAUUUCAUUGACUUAUUCUAUGAUAAUUAUAAUCAAACACGCACACUGCAAGGCGACCUUCAAUUGACGUACUCUGUCAACUAACCCAGGGACAUGGAGGAUGUGUGUUGACGUUAACCAAUAGCCAAGUUUAUAAACACAAUCAAGCAAUCGUAUCAUUAAUCAGAGCCACAUUCGACGCACGACUAGUAAAUAUCAUAAUUGAGUCUGAGGACCACAGCCUUACGGUGAAAGAAUUUGAAUGGAGAUCACUGCCAAAUUGUUUUUUGUCUGGGAUCAGACCAGACAAGUUCUUGUAUGACUCGUUAAAGUUGGAUAAAUAGUUUAUGAGUGAUCUGAAGAUCACUGAUCAGAAAUUUUGUCAUUUUUGUUUGGUAAAUUAUUCGUAAAAUGAUGGUCUACUCUGAAAUUACAAAAAUAAGCAUAAUAAAUUUGAAUAAAGGAAAGCAAAGGAAAAUGAGAAGGAAAACAGAGGAAGGCUAAAGAAAAAUAAGCCGAUUCAUCAGUAACUCAAGAUCACAACUUUUGGAUGUUUUUAGCCUCUGAAAUUUCAACAAAUAUUCAAGUGAUGUGAGGUUGGUCAAGGUAGAAGGAAAGUUUCCACUUAAUUGAUUAUUAGAAAUAUCAAGAACUUUGAGAUUGGUCAAGUUGUUGAGACACUGAGGAAGGUGACCCUCAAAGUUAUUUGAGCUUAGAUCCAACUCAAAAAGAUUCUUCAAAUUACAUAUUCCUGAACUUGAAAAUAAAAUAUCAAAAUUUUAUAGAAUGAAAACUAAUUAUAGCGAAUUCGAUCAAAAUCCAGUACAAGACUUAAAAAACAGACAAAAAUCAAAUUGCCUAAUUAUUUUGGUCAGCACAAAUAAUAAUAGAGUAAUGUGAACUUAUUUCUCAUAUAAUAUGAUGUUGAUUGCAAAAGCGUUUCAAUAAUCUGGAAAAAGGGGAAAAAAAAAAUGCCCUCACACUUUUUGCUCUUCAUAGCCCGAAGUCCUUCUUGUUUAACAUUACAAUUUUCUGAGGAAGAAUUUGUUCACUUGAUGUUGUUCACUGGACAAUGGUUCUGUAACCUCUAAACCUAUUGGAUAAUGUAAAGAGAAAUUCAUAAUAUUUUAAUUGUCUUCUUAAAUAAUAAAUUGUCUUAAAAUACAAUUAAUUUGUCUUAAAUUUAAUUUAUUCCUCAGCAUUCAAAGAAAAACAAAAACAAAAAAAGAAAAAGAAAAACGAACUGGUCUUCAUAUAUAAUUUUGUCCAAGUACUUUGAUCAACAAAUCAUUAGGAAGGUGGUGUAUCAGUGAUGCAAAUAUUUAAUUAUCAUGUUUCAACAUAACAAUUCUGUAUCAAGAAUUAAUGUCAUAUUAAUCCUGUAGCAAGAUUAAUGAAUGGAAGAGUGAAAGAUAAAUGUCAUAUUAGUUAGAUUUAGAUUUUUUUUUUUUCCAGUUUUGAUGUAUAGAUAUAAAUAAUACUUCAAAAGCAUUGAAAUCUAAGAUCUAUUAAAAAAACAUUUUUCAUUCAAAGCUAUAAGUAAUGAAAUGAAGAUAGAUAUCAUUGUUGAUUUAAAAAAAAAUUCAGAAAAAAAGAAAGAGUGAAAGAAAUGAGCAGGUUAAGUUAGAAAAUAGUGAUAGAGUAUGUUAAGGACUAAAAUUUAUUAAAGAAAGCAGUGGUUCUAUUUGAAAUUUGAUCAAGUUAGAAUUAGUCAAUUAUGCAUCGAGAAUCAAAAGAAUGAAGAAUGGGAAUUCAAAUUAGACUUACAAAAUUAUAAUAAAGUGAUUAGUUAAGAUCCAAUUACACUGAUUUACUAAAAAAAAUAUUGAAAAAUAAAGGGCCAUAACAUUGCCAAAAGGACUAGGAAACUAAGUAGGAAGGGGUGAUUGUUGCGGAAUACCUUGAAGUGUAGUUAUUCCACAACCACGAAGACCAAUUGCUUUGGAGUUUGUCAAAUAUAUAUGCCAAUCCUACAACAAUAUAAAGCAAAAUGUUACUAUAAAAUUAUUGUAGAAGACUGUUAUCGUUGUGAUAGAUCGGUAAUUUCAGUAGCUUACCUAGCCUUCUUAAAGAGCCGCUUGUUAGAUUGAGUGAUCAAAACAAUAGACAUAAAUAUUUUAAGAGAUUAACUUGCCUGACAUGCAUUUCUGCUGGCGUCAGACAUAUAUACCUUGCUUGAUUGUAGAAGCUUCAAUGUUAUUGGAACGAAGAUUUAGAUUGGUAAGUGAAGUUAGUGUAUUCAAAUAUGUUGUCGUUGAAAUUACCACCAAGAUUUAAGAUCUUCAGCUGUUUCAAACUCCCAAAGCUGUCGUAAGCUGCAAGUGCAUAUAAAUUAUUAUCAUUAAUUAGUCACUGACAAAAUAAUUAUGAAUGAGUAAUAUACACAUAUGCUUGAACCUUUAUUCUCAUAGAAGCCUUUAAACCAAUUAUCAGAUGAGUCAAGGCACUGCGAUUCUUCAAAAGGGUGAAACAAUGACAUACUCGGAAGGGAAACUCCAUAAGAAUAAGAGUUAUAAUCAGAGUAGUUGAUUUUUGUUUUCUGAUUGAGUGAGAGUUGCGUCACCCGUCGGGUGGCGGCGUUGCACUUAACUCCCUCCCAAUCGUUACAACAAUCAGACGACAUUCCAUCAUCAUCAAACCAUGAAGAAAGAAUGUCGUCAUCAUAUCCAACAUCACUGGCUGAUAUGAAGAAGCUCUUGAUUUCCAACAGAGCAAUCAUCUCUGUUUUCAAGCAUGCUUUGUAUCCAUGUAACUGAAUCAAAGCUAUGCCAACCCACAAUGACAACUUCAUCAAAAGCAUUUUCAUUAUUAAUAUUAACUGCAAGAGAAACACUCACAAGAUUGACCUGUCAAUUUUUGCUCUCUUGAAGUUGUUCUGGUUGUCUAGCAAAUAUAUGACUUAUAUAUACACACAUGGAAAUGUUAGAAAACUAAGUCUUUGAUACACCAUCAACUUGAUAAGCAGAAUGAAAAUUCUGCGCAUUUUCACGUGCCCUGUCAAUGAGAAAACAUGCAUGGAUUGAAAAAAGCAAGUGAGGGAAUAUUACCUGUUGAUACAUGUUAUCUGCUUGUGAAUCUUGUACCGUCCAAAGACAUUGAAACAAAGAGAAAUUAACAGCCGACUUACCUGCAUCAAGUGCAAAUCACGUGACAUCAAAAGUUACCAUGUAAUUUGUCUUUAUAAGUGUUUUCUGCUUCUGAAAAUGAAAAAUAACAAAAUGGAAAUGCUUUUAGCUUUUGGCUAGACGUUUUCAGAAACGUUUUGCAUGAACAGAAAAAGUUUUUGUAAAGAGGCAUUGAGCGGUCACUCUCUUAUCGCGGCCUGCGGCUUGCAGUCAUCAACAAUCCUCAUCUGGCCUCUUUAUAAUCCACUUUUAACAAAAUAUAGAUAGAAACAGAUAUAUUACUGAUAUUCAAAUUACACUUAAUAUUAAUAAAUCUUUGGACUGAGCUUUAAAUCUAUAAACUAAAACUUCCAGCAUACCACAAAUUAUUUUUAGAGCCCGCAUGUUGGAAUAUCUCCUUCAAGUUUCACUUUGAUUUCUAGCACAUCAUUCAAAUGAGUUGCUAUACUAUAUCUAGCUAGUUUUGAACAAAGUAAGUGAGAAUAUGACAUCUGCUUUAGCAAGAUACGAGUGAAUUAAAACGUUUGACCAGAUGAAAGAGAGAAAAGAAUGUUGAAAUAUUGACUUGAAUAUUGUGGUAAAAUGAGUUUGACUUUAGUACCGACCAAAGAAAUAAUUGAAGAUGCAAAUUAAUUGGUUAGUUUGACGUGCAUGGCUAUUGGCAAAGUGAAAUGUUAGCUUCGCAAUUCACUUGUGAACGUACAACAACAUUUGCUGCAUAAGGAAAUUGCGGCGUCUCAGCCGGAUUGUGAGAGUUGUUUUCAAAUCCCAUUUCUUUUCUUUGUAUUUGUUUUCAAAUCACGACCUUUUUUUUUUCCGCAGCUCACGUGAUCACCAUAAUUUUGAUAGCCACUCAAACGCGUUUCCGCAAUAACUAACGAAAGGAAAAGCGAACGAAUAAGUAAAAGAUACUGAUGACCGUAAUCAGGUAAAUGAAUACAAGGCUUUACAAUAGAUUAGACCACCAAAUCAGGACCAUAACGAAUAAACGAUUUGUGCCUUUUGAAUACAUCUGCUUUCACAAUGUAAACUUGCCAAAAUACAUGUAAUCUGCUGGUGAAAUAAUUUUUAUAAAACAGAGGCUUAAAGUUAAAGCUGAUUAAAAUAUUGGUGUACGUCAAGAACGCUACGGGGAAAAUUCAACCGUGAGCUGCAGUCUGCAGUCCCCAACAAUCCGGGAAAUGACUGAGGUGGUGCGCGCCUGCACACUAAUUUGGCAAGUCUGAUGGGAUUUAUACAUUAAAAUAAUGUAAUUUUAUAUAUUUUUUAAAUGAAAAAUUUAUUGAUGCGGCUGUGCGAUCCUUUGGAUCCUCGCGUGCCUGCCCCACAAAAGUUUCUCCCUAACAAUCUCCAUCAAACCUCUUUAUAAUCCAUUUUUGAUCAAAUAUGAAUAAGGAUACAUAUAUUUAUCCAAAUAUUAGUAAAAAAUAGAUAUAAUGCUGAUUUUUAAAUUUUACUUAAUGAACAUUUAGACCGAGCUGUAAGUCUAUGAAUUCUAACUUCUACAACACCACAAAUUAUUUUUCAGCCGUAUGUUGGAUUGUCUCCUUUAAGGCUGUGUUUACUAAACUGGAAUGGGAAUCGAAACGGAGAAAUUGGAAUGAAUAACUUGUUUAUUUGUUAAAUUGAUGCUAGGAAUGGGAAUAAGGUGAGCGGGCUCCAAGGUCUUGAAGAGGCAAGUCCAAUAAAGCCAAGGCUGACAAGAAGAAGAAAGAAGAGAAAGGCUUCAAUUAUUAAUUCUUAUUAUUCACUUCUUUCAUUGGAAAGUGCUUUUGCUUUCUAGCUUCCUUAUGUUCAUUGUUUUUUUGUUGUGCAGUAGUGCCCAGUGUUCUUGAUAUCACAAUCAUCACCCCAUAUGAAUCACAAGUUGUUCUCAAGGUAUACAUUUAUACUUAUUAUUAAUACUUUCUUGUUUUGCCCUCACCAGCUAUGAUUAGCAUUUUAUUUUUUAAAACUUUAUAAAUAUAAAUGAAUUAUUAAUUAAUCAUCUUUUCUUUUUGUUUGAUUGAAAUUUGCUCAAAGGGCAUCUCCACUGACAAGAUACUUGACGUGAAAAAAUUGUUGGCUUCCAAUGUAGAAACUUGCCACCUCACAAAUUAUUCUCUUUCUCACGAGGUAUCUAUAUUUUAUUAUCUCUCCCCCCCUUUUUUUUAUUAUGAUUAUGAAUAAUGAUAUUAAACAGUAGAUACUUUUUUUUCCACCUUAUUUUUAUUCGUUUAUUUCUUUAUGACAUUAAUACAAUAUUAUUAUUAUUAUUAUUAUUAUUUUAUCAGGUCAAGGGGCAGAGAUUGAAUGAUAGAGUAGAGGUUGUUACUCUAAAACCAUGUUUGCUCAGAAUAGUUGAAGGUAGGUGCAUCUCUCUCAUGUCAAAUUUUCUGAAUUAAAAAGUCCCAUGCAUGUGGAUGUGGGUCUCAUUUUAUUUGUUAUUUUUAAUUAUUAACAUUUAGAUCUUUUUAGUUGUGCAUUCAUUGCCAUACUAUUUUAGUAAACUACAUUCAUUUUAUUUUAUGUUUUUUAAGAAUUUUUUAAUUCGAAAUAAUUUUUUUAAUAUUGUUGAAAAAGACAGGUUAAAGUAAAAAAAAAAAAAAAAAAAAUUUGGCUCAUUCGGUGCUUCAAGCAAUGCCAAUCUAUGCAAUGCAGACGACUCUACUCCCGGCUCUGGUGCGUGGGAAGAUUGAGAAGUCUUGCCGUCGGUUUAUAUGGGAUGGGAAGUCGAAGAAUCACAGGAUGAGCAUGGUGGGUUGGAACAAAAUUUGUAUGCCGAAAACAAAAGGUGGCCUGGGGUUUAAGAACCUGGAUGAGAUGAAUCAGGCUUUGUUGAUGAAGUUGAGCUGGCAAAUUGUCUCGAACUCUGACAAGCUAUGGGUAAAGGUUAUUUGUUCAAAGUAUGGGUUAGAUCCUAGAAAUUUACCGCUGUCCCUCCCUGCAAAACAAGGAUCGAGAAUCUGGAGGGCCAUACGAAGCUCGUGGUCAGCCACUAUGAUGGGAGCUCGCUGGGCAGUCUGUGAUGGAACUCGAGCUCGUUUUUGGCUGGACUGCGGGGCAACAAAGCAAGGCCCUUUGAUUAAUCUAGCUCUUCACCCAGUGCCUCAAGAGCUGGUUAACGCUACGGUGAGCGAUUUUAUAAACGAGCAUGGGGACUGGAACUGGUCAGCUUUUGAACAUCUGCUUCCCAACUCUGUUCUGCUCCAAAUAGCUUCGGUAAUGCCUCCUAAUCCUUUGCUUGGUAAGGAUAAAAUCUUCUGGCGGUAUGAUCCAAGAGGAAACUUCACGGUUCGCUCGGCAUAUGAGGCUCUUUGUCAGUUGGAUUCAAAUGAUACUAACACUGCAUGGAAGCUAGCUUGGACUUGGAAGGGGCCGCAAGCAGUACGCAUCUUCCUUUGGCAGGCUCUGCAUGCUAAGCUGAAAACCAAGGACGAACUUUCUAGAAGGCAUAUUCCUAUUUCUAUAGAUUGUGAACGUUGUGGGGCUCCAAUUGAGGAUAUUAUCCACGUUUUGAGAGACUGUCAGUGCAUUAAGCGGGUUUGGCUUCGGUUGGUACCCGCUCGGAAUCAUCUAUCCUUUUUCCAGUCUACUUUACGUGAGUGGAUUAUUGCUAAUUUACAAAAUAAGUGGAAAGUUGCUUCUUCAUCAAAUUGGGAAUGUAUCUUCGGAGUAGCGGUUUGGAGAUUAUGGUUUUGGCGGAAUCACUUUAUGGUGGAUGGAAAGUUGACGGACAGCUCAACAAUCUAUUUAGAUAUUAUGGCCAGAGCUAACGAAAUCCAUAGACUAAAUAAUUCUCUCAUAAGUCGGCAGCCGUGGCGAAAGGAAAUUUUUAUUGGUUGGAUUCCACCUCCAUGGCCUUGGUGCAAAUUGAAUACGGAUGGGUCUUGUAGAAAUUCUGAGGUUGCAGGAGCUGGGGGAAUUCUUCGGGACUCUGUCGGCCACUGGAUUUCUGGAUUUUGUAUGAAUAUUGGAAAAUGUUCGGUGCUCAUGGCUGAACUUUGGGGAUUGUAUCAGGGAUUACGUAUAGCUUGGGAUACUGGCGUAAAGUGCCUUUUGGUUGAAGUGGAUAGCCUUUGUGUUACUCAAAUGAUCUCGAAGCAGGUGGUUGUGCCCAAUGAAUUCUUUGCACUAGUUGCUGCUGUCCAGGAUCUAGCUAGCAGAAAUUGGCGGAUUUCCAUCACUCAUAUUUAUCGUGAAGCAAAUUCGGGGGUGGAUUUUAUGGCGAAUAUGGCUCAUUCACACCCCCAUGGGUUGCAUUUAUUUUCUAGCCCGCCUGUGGGUAUUUAUUCAAUUAUUUUGCAAGACUUAUUUGGGGUGUCUCAACCCCGCCUUAUUCCUAUUUAGCUCUCUUGCUUGAGCCCCUUUUAAUCAAAAAAAAAAAAGUAAAAAAAAAAUUAUUGACUAAAUAAAUAAAUAAAUGACAUUAUUUUUUUUUUAACAUAAAAAAAAAACCAAUUUGAUGCCGUCCACUUAGUCCUGCACACUUGGAACGUUACCAUGCUUUUUUGUGCUGUACAUUUGGGACUUAACUGUCCUUGUCAUUUCAAGUAAAGGUUGAAUCCGUCUCAAAAGUACAAUAAGAACGUGCAUUUAAGUAACUGGCCUAAACUUUAGAAAUUUCAGAGUUAUAGUUUACGCAGGUGACAUCUAGGACCAUUAUUAGUUUAAUCAUUAAAUGACAAAAUUUUGCCAAUGUUGAGGGGGGUACUUAAAAAUGCAAGCAUCUAGUCCUUUGCCUCUGUUUUGAUGCCCCAAUUUUUUGCUUCCUAGAUGCUCUGACUCACUCCCUCACAUCUCACUUGUGCAAACCAAGGAAGAAGGAAAAAUUAUUAUUUUCCUUUUAUAACACAAAAAACAAUAAUUCCUUUUACUGCUCCAUGUUUAUUAUUUUAUUCUAUUUUUCCAGAAUCUCUUUUUAUCAAUUAAAUUUAUGAUAUUGAUAUUGAAGAUUUGCUUAAAUCAGAAAAAACUUGUUCAUAUUUCUGGUCAAUAUAAUACAUCUCCUGAAAGGUAAAAAUAGGCCCAAAAAAAACAAGAAUGAUGAUUUUUUUUUUUUUUACUUUUUUAGGCAAAGGGUCAGAGAUUACAAUGAAUCUAUGUACUUGUGGAAAUUUUUUUUGAGGCAUAAAUAAGUGCAAUUUGAGAGCAUUUUGUUUUUGUUCCACCAUACAUUUUAUACAACUGCCGCCUUAGAUUGAGUGCAUCACUUCAUUAUAUAAUCAGUAAAAAUUAAUUAUACAAAUGGAAUCAUUAUCUAUUACAAUUAUUCGACUUCAUCAAGUAACAGCUGAAGUUUUUUACGACAUUAUCAAAAGAGUUCAACUUUUAUUUUAUAAAGUAUAUAUAAAUAUAUUUUAGAAAUAAUUAAUAUGAUAAUACAACAUAUACAAGAAAAAAAAUAAAACAAGUUUUAGAAUUAGCAGAUUAGCAUUGUCAUAAGCAAGAGUUGUCUCUAACUGCAAUAAGCUAGGCAUGUUUCUGAAGUUUGUUUCACUAGCCUUACCAAACUUUUGCUAGUUGAUAUUCAAAGUUUUUUUUUUAAUUUUUAUUUUUUAUAGUCAAGUGUAUCUAAUUAAACAAUCAAUCCAACAUGAAGACAACUUUAUCGCUUUAUGGUCCUAAUUAUCAACCAGCUAUUAAAGUUUAAUUUAUUAAAAAAAUAUUAGUUGGCAGAAAUGUAAACAAAGCAAUAACAUUUGCAGAAGUGUAUUAUUUCUGAAUUACUAACUUUACCAUGAAUAAUUAAUAUGAUUAGAGGUUAACAAAAUUAUAUGUAAAAGUUUAUUUAAAGAGUGAAAGUUUUAUUUUAUUUUUAUCAUUUUUUAAUUCUUAUAAUUAUAAUUUAAUCCAGAAGUAUUUUAAUUAUAAAAAAUUAUUUUGAAAAAUAAGUUUGAGGAAUAGUUUAGUACUUAAUAAUUAUUUUCUACUUAUAAUUAAGUUAAUAUUUAAUAGAAAGAACUAAAAUAAUAAAAGAAAAAAACUUUGCCCGGCAAUUCCUUGUUAUUUACAUUUUUGGCACUGUCCUGUGCAGAGGACUACACUGAGGCAUCUCAGGCCGUGGCACACGUGCGGCGGCUUCUCGACAUCGUCGCGUGCACCACACGGUUCUCCAAGUCCAGAAACUCCCGAUUGCCGCCACCGUCAGAGUCAUGUGCCAAAAAGAACGGCAGUAGGCCCCACCCGCCGUCACCAAACUCUGCCGCUCUGUCUGAUGGAGCAGCAACAGCAGCAGCAGAUAACCGAAGCGGGCCCCGGGCCACGUCACCGCCAGUUUCAUCGGCGGUUUCUCCAAGUCUGGACAUGGCGGCCAUUCACCCGACGCCGAAACUCUCCGAGUUUUAUGACUUCUUCUCUUUCUCUCACCUCGCUCCCCCCAUCUUGAGUAAGCCUAAUGUCCAUUUAUUUAUUUGUCUUCGUUUUUUACAUGGUCGAUCAAAAAAAAAAGAAAAAAAAGAAAGAGGAAAUGAUAUAAAUAUAUGUGAUUUAUUUGAAUAUGAAAUUUGUUUAUUGAUUUUAAUUUUUAAUAAUUUUGAUUUUGAAGAUUUGAGAAAACGUGAACGCAAAGGAGAGAAGCGCGACGGUGAUUAUUUUGAAAUUCAGGUACCAUUUAAUAUAAAGUUCUGAUUAUUGUUGUUUGUUGUUUAUGGACUAAUUAAUUGUAGAGUUAUUCAACUCGUUAUUUUUGCUGAUGAAUUGGCCAAUGAGUGUUAAAGAUUUAAUAAUCAUUGUCUCCUAAUUAAUAAGAAUGCAUGGAUUAUUUUCAUGUCUUUGUAAGUACUGUGAGUAUUUGAAAGUGCGGGAAACUGUAUUUUGUGCUUACAGACAAAAAUCUGCAAUGGAAAGCUUAUACAAGUAGUUGCAUCAGUAAAAGGGUUCCAUACUUUGGGAAAGCAGUUUUUCCAAAGCAACUCCCUGGUGGAUCUUCUGCAAAAUCUCAGUCGAGCUUUUGCCAGUGUGGGUACUCAAUAGUCAAAUCUACAGAUUAUUUUUUUCUUUUUUAUCUGAAUGCAUCUUUUUUUCCUCUGUAAAUUCAAUUAGCUUACCCUUUAAUUGUUUUAUUAAUAAUUAUGGUCAUUAUGCGUGAUUCAGGCAUAUGAAUCCCUAAUGAAAGCUUUUGUUGAACAUAAUAAGGUAACAAUUUCUGUGCUGACAUAGUUUAUUACCAAUUCAAAUGUGAUUUUAACUUGAUUUUACUGAUAUAGUAUAUUCAUUAUCCUUCUUCAGUUUGGUAAUCUUCCCUAUGGAUUUCGAGCUAAUACAUGGCUUGUACCUCCAUCUGUUGCUGAGUCUCCAUCAAAUUUCCCAUGCCUACCAGUAGAAGAUGAGAAUUGGGGUGGCAAUGGCGGAGGCCAGGGAAGAGAUGGAGAACAUGAUUUACGACCAUGGGCGACGGAAUUUGCUAUACUGGCUAGGCUUCCUUGCAAAACUGAAGAGGAGAGGGUGGUUAGAGAUCGGAAGGCCUUUUUGCUUCAUAACCAAUUUGUUGAUGUCUCAAUUUUGAAAGCUGUUGGAGCAAUACGCCGUCUCAUUGAUUCAAAUUUACACACUCAAGAUACAAUCAAUGUCCAAAAGGGGCAAUCUUGCAUGAAGAUCGUGUGGGAGAUUUGUCCAUUACAGUAAAACAUGAUACAGUAGAUGCAAGCUUGAUGUCUGAGGUUACUAUUAAAGGAAAUCAGUCAUCUGGUAUAUCUGCUACAGAAGGUGCUCAAACGAAUUUACUAAAAGGUCUUACUGCAGAUGAGAGUGUAGUUGUUCACGUAAGUCGAUUUCUCCUUUACUUCUUACGCUUAUGUUCACAGAACACACACAUAAAAGACAUUCAUCAAAGCUGAAAUUGCUUACGUGGGCGGAAUAAUAUAGCUCUACCUUUGUCAGGGAGUGAUUUUUCAGUCGGAUUAAGAUGUUUCACUCUUUAUCUGAUAUCUGGCAUUUGAUGAUGGCCUAAAAUACCCAUCCUCUUAACUCUCUCUUUCUACACAUUUAUGAAUGCACAAGAAAGUCAAUUUUAGGUUCUUUCCUAAGAAUCACUACUCGUUACUAACCUUAUAUAUCUGGUUUAGCUUCAUGAAUCUUAUGUUGCCAUUCUGUUUGGUGACUCCCUAUUCUGUUGAAAUCACUGGAUAGCAGGUCUUUCCACUGAUUUUAUCCAUAUCCCUCUGAUUUUCUGCUUGUGGUUUGCUCCAACUUAAUGUCAUCAACCCUUUUUGGGGAAGCCUAUUAACCUUGUUUGUGCCAAUGAGAGGUUGGCAAAUAAAUCCUGGAUAUGCAGAUUCAAAUGUUUCAAAUGAGUCGAACUCUUCAAAUGACACAAGCGAGGCAGAAGAUGAUAAACUUGACAAAAUGUCCAGUAUCCAAGGCGAAGAUAAUACCUCAAGAAAGAGCAGUACAGAGGCCGAGAAGUCAGAGCUGGCAAGACAGAUACUACUUAGCUUCAUUGUAAAGUCAAAUUGAGAAUUUGAACAAACACAAACAUGGAUACAUAGCUGUUUGGAGAAAAGCCAACGGAUACAUAAUACAGCACGAUAAGUUAUACACGGCCGAACCGUAUGUGCUAGUAAGCACAAACAUAUUUGAAAAGCCAAUAAUAGCAUGUGUCAAUACAUCUAUCAACGAAAUAAAACCACAGUUUGCGCCAGUGCGAGUUUAUCCAAAGUGCUGCAAAUAAACCCAAACUCACCGAUGCAUAGGAUGCUCCAAAACUCCAUCUUAAUGCCACCAUGUCAAUCACAGAAUGGCCUUCAUCUUCUCCUCCUGUAGGUGUCGCUGGUGGUGUCAAAGCACUGCUGCAUUUCCUCUUUAUCAUUGAGCCACAAAGAGCCGAAUUACCUUUAUAACUGCAGUCAUCAAAGGUGGCAAACUGCUCUUUGUCUGGGAUUGGGCCGGACAAAUUGUUGUAUGACACAUUGAAGUUUGAUAAAAAGUUGAGCUCAGUUAGUUGAGGAGGAAUUUGGCCACUUAAUUUGUUGCGGGAAAGGUCCAGGCUCUCUAUCAUUUUUAGGUUGGAGAAGCUCUCUGGUAUAGCACCUGAUAGUAAAUUAUUGGACAGAUUAAGUGCACGAAUAUUUUGAAGUUGCCCAAUUUUCCAUGGAAUUUCUCCACUGAACUCAUUGCCUGACAAAUCCAGUCCAGCCAUGUAGUUGAGGUUGCUACCGAUGAAAAAUUCAUAUCUAUUCUUUGUCACAAAUUUUGCACCUACUUGUUGAUCUUGUCUAAAAUGUAGUUCAACUGGCAGUUGCAGCUCAAGAGAGGAAUUGUAGUAGGCAACAGGGGAAUCAACAUUAUUUGCAUAAAAAAAUUCUGACGAAUCAUCAUCAGUCGCUUCUCUCCAGAAUGACACGUUACCCAAACAUGAAGGUAUCGGCCCAUUAAGUCUGUUACGUGAAAGAUCCAUGAUACUUAAUUUCCUUAAUUGGCACAAUUGAUUAGGAAUACGUCCUUGUAGAUAGUUCCCUCUCAAAAGAAGAACAUGCAAAUUCGAACGCUCAUUGAUCUGAUGAGGAAUCCUACCAAAAAUUUUAUUGUCCCUCAAAUCGAGGGUCAAUAAUGUAGAACUUCUAAGCAAUGCAAUUGGAAUUAACCCCUUAAUUGCAUUGUUUUGCAGAUAAAUGUGCUUCACGAAUGAAAGAUUGGAGAGAGAUAUCAAACUAUUUUCGGAGAGGUCUAUAAACUCAAGACAUUUAAGAUUGUUGAGCUGGACCGGAAUAUUACCUUGCAAAUAGUUUUCUGACAUUAAAAGAACCGAAAGGACUGAGAAGUUCCCAAUCCAGUGGGGAAUAUCGCCGGAUAACAUGUUGUUGGAUACAUUUAAUACUCUUAGCAAAGUGGAGCUCAACAAACCAUCUGUCAUCUUCCCACUGAAAUGAUUGUUGUCCAAAUAUAACGAACCCAAAUCAGUCAAGUUCAUAUAAUUGGGAAAAAGUUGGCCAUAGAAAUUGUUAUUUGAUAGGUCCAACCAAUCUAAGGAGAGGCAACUAGAGACUAUAGGUCGAGGUAAUUUUCCUGUAAAAUUAUUUCUAGACAAAUCCAAAAUAGUUAGCUCUUUCAUCUCACCAACUGAAUAAGGAAUAUUACCUUCAAAAUUAUUUUUUGACAUAUCCAAAUAUAUCAAUUUCUGAAAGAUAAUACCCAAAUUCUCUGGUAGCUUACCAGAGAAAUUGUUACUGGAAAUAUCUAGAUGACGAAGCUUAUCGUAUUUGGCAUUGGGAAGUCGUGGAAGAAUUCCUGAUAAUGAGUUAUUCCACAGAAACAGAACUUCUAAUCCUGUGUUGUUUUGCAGCAACCAAGUUGGAAAAUUGCCAACCAAUUGAUUGUGAGAGAGAUCAAGGAAUUUUAAGUUGGAUUGGUGUAAAAGAAAACUGGGAUUGACAUUUAAGCGGCAGUGAGGUAAUUGGAGAACCUUGAGAGGAUAUGUGGGGAGCCAGUUUUCGGUUUUCACUUGCAACAUAUCGUUUUGUGGCGAGAGUAGCAAGACCUCAAGCUUCGAAUGAUUAGCCAAUGAAUUUAUUGAGAAUGUUCCUUGGAAAUCGAUGAAAGAGAGAUCCAAAUAUUCAAGUGAUGUGAGGUUGGCUACUAUAGAAGGUAGGUUUCCACUUAACCGAUUGGAAGAAAUAUCAAGAACUUUGAGAUGAGUCAAGUUGAUAAGACAUUGAGGGAGCUGAUCCUCAAAGUUAUUUGAGCUUAGAUCCAACUCAAAAAGAUUCUUCAAAUUACAUAUUCCUAAACCUGAAAAUAAAAAGCUCAGAUUUCAGAAAACGAAAACCAAUUAUAGCGCAUUCAAUCAUAAAACCAAUAUAAGACUUAUAAAACCGACAUGAAAUCAAAUUGUCUUAGUAUUUUGGUCAACAUAAAUAAUAAUAGAAUGAUAUGAAUUUAUUUCUCAUAUAAUAUGAUGUUGAUUGCAAAAGCGUUUCAAUUAAUCUAACAAAAAUAAUAAUAAAAAUAAAAAAGCGCUCAAUAAUUCUUGCUCAUCAUAAUCAAUUCAAAAAGCGUUCCAGCAAUUCUUGUUGUUUAAAAUUAUGAUUUUCUGCGGAAGAGUUUGUUGACCUCAUCUUUUUGUUGGAUAUUGAUUCUCUAAUCUCUAAAUUUGUUGGAUAAUGUAGAGAGAAACUCAUAAUAUUUUAGUUGCCUGGCAUUCAACAAGAAUUUUUUUUUAAAAAAAAAUUAUUUGAUUUAACCAAAAAAACCUUGUUAAUUAGACUUAGAUUUAAUUUUUUUAUAUAUUUUUCUAUUUAAAAAAUUUAAAAUGAGUGAGUAGGGGUAGAAACAUCAUUUUGUAACUAGUUGUGGGGGCAAAAAUGUUAUUUUGUAACUAAUUGUAAGAGUAAGAAUGGCAUUUUUUAUAGUUAAUUGUAGGGUCGAAACGUCAUUUUGUAACUAAUUUAUUAUUCUUAUUAAAAUUAACAACAAAAGUUAACAGAAUAUUGCACGCUCAAAUAUUUUUAAAAAAUAUGUCAUCUUCUUAAAAUUUGUUAAAAUACGUGUCAUCCAAAGGUAAUUAACCAUUUAUAUUAUUAUUCCCAAAAAAUCAAUUUCCCUCACAAUAAUCUUUUCUUUUUAUAUACAUUAUACUAUUUAUGUUUUUAUAUAUUUACUAAAUCAAAUAUGUAGAAUUUAUCAUUUUCUUUGAACAAAAAAAUAGCAAGGUCACCUAAUUUAUUCUUAAAAUUAAAAUAAUCAAUAUCCAUUGCUUAAUCUUAAGUUUUAUGGAAAUUAUUCCAAUAAUAAUUCUUUAAGAUAUUCUUACCAAACACAUUUUUCUUUUUCUCAUUUUUGAGAUUAUUUUUGAAAAUGAUACCGAACACAUUUAUAAAUUUUAAAAAUAAAUUUAAAAAUAGCAUUUUUAUUUUCAUUUUUUUUGGGUGAAAACAACAAUUAGAAAACAAUAAUGGGUUCUUGUUUAUCAUCUUUCAACAUAAAAACACAGUGUAAAUUGUUUAAUUUGGGUUUCUAGAGAAUUUUUAUAUUACUAUUACUCAAAUUUUAUGCUUCCAAGCUUUUGAAUUUAUCUAAUCCUGCAUCAAGAAUUAAUGAACAUAUGAUAAAAAAAUAUUUUUUAUUUCAGAACUAUAAAUAUUGAAAUAAAAAUAAAUAUCAUUGUUGAUUUUGUUAUAAAAAAGAUUCAGAAUUAAGAGAGUGAAAGAAAUGAGCGAGUUAUGUCGGAAAAUGGUGAUAGAGUAUGUCAAGUACUAAACUUUGUAUAGAAAGCAAUGCUUCUAAUUCAAAUUUGAUCUAGUUGGAAUUAGUCAAUUAGGCAUUAGAAUCAAAAGAAUGAAGAUUGGGAACUCAAAAUUAGAUUUAAAAAUUAUAAUAAAGCGUUUAAUUGAGAUUCAACUAAGUUGAUAUACUCAAACAGCAGAUUGAAAAAUGAAAGGCCAUAAUAUUACCACCAAAAAAAAAAAAAAACUGGGAAAUUAAUAGGAAGUGAUGAUUGUUGUGGUAUACCUUGAAGUGUAGUUAUUCCACAACUACCAAGAUGUAAUGUUUUCAAGUUUGUCAAAUUUGCCAAUCCUACAUCAAUAAAAUAAAUAAAUAAAUAAAUAAAUAUUACUUCAAAAUUAUUGUAGUAAGGCCAUGAUCAGUGUGGUUGUUUGGUAAUUAUCCCAGUAGCUUACCUAGCCUUGUUAAAAAGCCACUUGUUAGAUUGAGGUUCCCGCCUAGAAACAACACUUCCAUGUAUCUCAAAUUUGCUAAUCCUGCUCAGGAAACAUUAAAUUUUGAUCAAGACAAUUUACGUAUAUAUUUUAAGAGAUUAACGAGCCUAACAUGCAUUUCUGCUGGCCUGAAAUGUAUAUACCUUGCUUGAUUCUGGAACCUUCAAUGCAAUUGUAAUAAAGAUUCAAAGUGGUAAGUGAAGUUAGCGUAUUCAAAUAUGGUAAUAUGCUGUCGUCGAAGAAAUUGUCACAAAGAUUUAAGAUCUUCAGCUGCUUCAAGCUCCCAUUGCUAUCGUAAGCUGCAAAUGCAUAUGAAGUAUUAAUAUUAUAAUAUGCACGAGAAAUAUAUACAUAUACAUGUACCUUUGUUCUCAUAAAUGCCUUUAAGCCAAUUAUCAGAUAAGUCGAGGCUCUGCAAUUCUUUGAAAGAAUGAAACAGUGACAUAUUCAGAAGGGAAACUCCAUAAGAAUAAGAGUUAUAAUCAGAGAAGUUGAACAUUCUUAUCCCAUUGAGUGAGAGUUGCAUCACCCGGCGUGUGGUGGCGUUGCACUUAACUCGCUCCCAAUCAUCACAACAAUCAGACGACAUUCCAUCAUCAACCCAUGAAGUAAGAAUAGAGCCUUCAUAUUCCCUAUCACUGAUUGAUAUAAAGAAGCUCUUGAGUUCCAACAGAGCAGUCCUCUCUGUUUGCAAGCAUGCUUUGUAUCCAUGCAUUUCAUUCAUCAAAACAAUAAUCCAAAUUAGUGAAAUUAACGAGAACUUAACAAAGGAAGUACUUUCCAUUGCAAAGCAACUUUUCAAUUGGUCAAUAUAAAAUUUGCAAGGAGGAAACUUCAAUAUUUAUACUAAACAUUUAUCAUCGUGGACCUUGCAAUUUGAUUGGCUGAAGAUUACCAACCACCACCUAACGAAAAUGAAACAUCUUAGAGAUAUCAAGUAAUAAAAAUACUUGAUUAUCUUAUUUUUGUUUUAGAGGGUUAUUAAAGACAAAACAUUGUCAAUACAUUAUAACAUCGCUAUCUUGAAGUCUUCGUCUUUAGUGAAGACUUGUAAGCUUGAAAUUACAUAUAUAUUGCAACAUCGACCCAGGAGAAAAAGAACUUCACUAAUACUCCGUGAAAAAUAAAAUUAAAGUUCACUGACUCUCGAAUUAAGCCAACAAACAAGCGAGUGCAAACUAUAUUUUCUCCAACAGUUUGAUGGAGAUAGUCGUAACUAAUAAAAUAAAAGUUGUGUGAAAGAGUUUAAAUAAUUUAUCCGUAUAUUUGGGAUUAUAUUGGAUUAUCAGUUAAUCUAUUAAAUAAUAUGUUUUGUAAAGAAUUUGAUUGGAUGUUUGAUAAGUUUAAUUUAGUAGUUUAAUUACUCAUAAAAGUGUGAUGUACUCUAAAAUGACAAACACAUAAAUGUUAUUUGAAGCUUUUGUGACCCUUCAUGUUCAUGCAUUUGAAUCAAAGCUAUUAAAAUCAAAUAUAUUGAUAAACCUUAAUAAGGAAAUUAAGUUUCGAUUGCUCUCAAUCUGCAACUCGACUACUAUUACAAUCACUUGAAAUGACAAAAACAGAAAUUUCAUAUGAACUUGGGACAGAUGUACACGGGUUCAAUUUAGCUAAUUUCCCAUAUAUUUACAACUACGGGGAAAAUUAAAGCUGAUUGACUUUCAAAUUAAGCAACAAACAAGUGGCUGUCUACUAUUUUUCCUCUACCAAUUGAUGGAGACCGCCGAUGCUAUAAAACAAAAAUUGAUUAAGAAUUUAGAUAAGGAAAAUUAUCAACUGUCCGUCCUAAGUUUAUCAUUUAUUCAUUUUUCGCCUUAAGUUUACAAUUCGUAUUAGUCAUCUACUAAAAAGAUAGAAUUACACUUAUGAAAUGACAAUACAGAAAUAAGUACAAAUGGCAAUAGUAGUAAUUUUGUAUGAAUUUUUCUGUUCUUUUGGUGGUUGGUUGAUACAAAUUAAAAACAUAAGAAGAAAAAUAAAUAAAUUCAAACUUUUUAGUAUUUCUGAUAGCAGGUUAAACCAAAGGAGGAGGGCUUUAUAAUUUCCCUUUAAAUAAUUUAAGGGUGUGAUUGCGUUUCUAUUGAAUUGUAUGCUUGGAUUUGCAUUGAAUUAUCAAAAAAUCUAUGCAAGCAUCGAAUUGUAAUGACUGACGAAGACUUAUAAGGCUUGGACCAAUGAAGAAAAAUGCUUCAUUAAUGCUCCAUGGAAAACAAGCCAGCUUGGAAGCAGUUGAUCGGAUAGUCAACAGUUGAUUGAGAUAGUCAACUAAUAAAAACAAAAGUUAGUUGAGAUAAUUUUAAUAAUUUAAGCGUCGUUUGGGUUUGAAAUAAUCAAAUAAUUUAUUGAGAAGAGUUGAAUUCCGUUAUUUUAUUGAGAAGAGAUCCAUCACUCCCUCGCAAUUAUCACAGCAAUCAGACGACAUUCCUUCAUCAUCGUCAAACCAUGAACUAAGAGCUUCGUCAUCGUAUCCAAUAUCACUGCUGCUGAUAUGAAGAAGCUUUUGAUUUCUAACAGAGCAGUCCUCUCAGUUUCCAAGCAAGCUUUGCAUCCAUGCAUUUCAUCCAAAACGACAAUCCAAAGUAGUGACGUUAAUGAGAACUUAAUGAAGGAAGUACUCCCAUUGCAAAACAGCUUUUUAUUUGGCUAAAGUUAAAUGUGAAUUAAAUAUCUUUGACUGGUGAUACACAUAUAUUCAGAGAUUUGAAGUGCUCAAACCAAAAAAAUAUAAAAAUAAAAAAAAUUAUUAUAAAAAAAUUGAUGAAUAAUAUAGUUCCACGAAGUGCUAAUAUGGCUCUUUGAACUCUCUUUACAAGUAUAGUACAGUAUUGGUAGAAAUUUAUCCGGUAUGUACAAGGGCUUGUAUAUUUUGCAAUAAAAUAAACAAGCUAAUAUGAAUUUCUUUCUUUCUUUCUCUCUUUUUUUUUUUUUUUUUUUUAAGAAACAUGAAUUGGUUCGUCCAUCAAUUAAUAAUAAAACCAUAAUGUACACCGGUAUGAGUUUAUCUAAAAUCACCGGCUACACCAAUAUCAUUGUGACAUAGGAAGCGAUGAGGAAAUUUACGAAAUAUUUAUUAAACCAUAGUCUACGCCAGUAAGAUGGAAUUAGCAUUCAAUGAUCAUAGACUUUCUGCAAUUUCAUUGACUUGUGAUCAGGGAGUCCUUAUUCUACAAUAAUUAUAAUCAAACACGCACACUGCAAGGCAACCUUCAAUUGACGUAUUCUAUCAACUAACUGGGGACAGCCUUCACUCUGGACUUAAGACCGCAUGUCCGAGAAAUUCGUCAGAUUCAUGUAGCAAAUGAAUUGCACAAGGAGGCAUAAAAAUUAGUAUAUUUUUCAAUGACCCAGCUUGAAAGCAAUGAACUAAAAAUUAAUACAUAAAAGUUCAAUUACACGUAAAGAAGGAUAACAGUAAACUAUGGCCUAGCAAGAUGACGGAUGAAAGAAAACCAUGGCCAGCGCCAAUACGAAUUCAACCAAAGGAUUCAUCUUAAUUGCAGAUUCAUCUUCGUCUUCUCCUCGAUUGGAUAUUAUUGCUAGAUUUUCCUCUGUUCUGGUGCAACUCUUAUUAAUUGUUGGACCACAAAGACCCAGAUUAUAACUCUUUUCAUCAAACCUGCCAAAUUGUUUUUCGUCUGGGAUCAGACCAGACAAGUUCUUGUAUGACUCGUUAAAGUUGGAUAAAUAGUUGAUGAGUGAUCUGAAGAUCACUGAUCAGAAAUUUUGUCAUUUUUGUUUGGUAAAUUAUUCGUAAAAUUAUGGUCUACUCUGAAAUUACAAAAAUAAGCAUAAUAAAUUUGAAUAAAGGAAAUUGAGAAGGAAAACAUAGGAAGGCUAAAGAAAAAUAAGCUGAUUCAUCAGUAACUCAAGAUCACAACUUUUAGAUGUUUUUAGCCUCUGAAAUUUCAACAAAUAUUCAAGUGAUGUGAGGUUGGUCAAGGUAGAAGGAAAGUUUCCACUUAAUUGAUUAUUAGAAAUAUCAAGAACUUUGAGAUUGGUCAAGUUGUUGAGACACUGAGGAAGGUGACCCUCAAAGUUAUUUGAGCUUAGAUCCAACUCAAAAAGAUUCUUCAAAUUACAUAGUCCUGAACUUGAAAAUAAAAGAUCAAAAUUUUAUAGAAUGAAAACUAAUUAUAGCAAAUUCGAUCAAAAUCCAGUACAAGACUUAAAAAACAGACAAAAAUCGAAUUGCCUAAUUAUUUUGGUCAGCACAAAUAAUAAUAGAGUAAUGUGAACUUAUUUCUCAUAUAAUAUGAUGUUGAUUGCAAAAGCGUUUCAAUAAUCUGGAAAAAGGGGAAAAAAAAAAGCCCUCAGCACUUUUUGUUCAUCAUAGCCCGGAGUCCUUCUUGUUUAACAUUAUGAUUUUCUGAGGAAGAAUUUGUUCACUUGAUGUUGUUCAUUGGACAAUGGUUCUGUAACCUCUAAACCUAUUGGAUAAUGUAAAGAGAAAUUCAUAAUAUUUUAGUUGUCUUCUUAAAUAAUAAAUUGUCUUAAAAUACAAUUAAUUUGUCUUAAAUUUAAUUUAUUCCUCAGCAUUCAAAGAAAAACAAAAGCAAAAAAAAGAAAAAGAAAAACGAACUGGUCUUCAUAUAUAAUUUUGCCCAAGUACUUUGAUCAACAAAUCAUUAGGAAGGUGGUGUAUCAGUGAUGCAAAUAUUUAAUUAUCAUGUUUCAACAUAACAAUUCUGUGUAAAUGGUUCACUUUAGGUUUCUAGAGAACUGUUUAUAUUAUUAUUACUACUCAAAUUCAAUGCUUCCAAGUAUUUGAAUUUAAUUAGCUAAUCCUGUAUCAAGAAUUAAUGAACAGAAGAUAAAUGUCAUAUUAGUUAGAUUUAGAUUUUUUUUUUUUCCAGUUUUGAUGUAUAGAUAUAAAUAAUACUUUUAAAGCAUUGAAAUGAAAGAGCUAUUAAAAAAACGUUUUUCAUUCAAAGCUAUAAGUAAUGAAAUGAAGAUAGAUAUCAUUGUUGAUUUAAAAAUAAUAAUAAAUUCACAAAAAAAAAGAAAGAGGGAAAGAAAUGAGCAGGUUAUGUUAGAAAAUAGUGAUAGAGUAAGUUAAGGACUAAAAUUUAUUAAAGAAAGCAGUGGUUCUAUUUGAAAUUUGAUCAAGUUAGAAUUAGUCAAUUAUGCAUCGAGAAUCAAAAGAAUGAAGAAUGGGAAUUCAAAUUAGACUUACAAAAUUAUAAUAAAGUGAUUAGUUAAGAUCCAAUUAAGCUGAUUUACUAAAAAAAAAAUUGAAAAAUAAAGGGCCAUAACAUUGCCAAAAGGACUAGGAAACUAAGUAGGAAGGGGUGAUUGUUGCAGAAUACCUUAAAGUGUAGUUAUUCUACAACCACGAAGACCAAUUGCUUUCAAUUAUGUCAAAUAUGCCAAUCCUACAUCAAUAGAAAGCAAAAUGUUACUUUAAAAUUAUUUCAGUAGCUUACCUAGCCUUCUUAAAGCGCCACUUGUUAGAUUUCCAGAUUAAAUCCAACACUUGCAAGUUUCUCAAAUCUGCUAAUCCUACUCAGUAAACAUUAAUUUUGAUCAAAACAAUAUGCUUGAUUGAAUAUAAAAUUUAUGAUUAAACCAAUAAAAUUUAUUCUACUUGAUUUUUGUACAAUUUGUUUUUCACUUGAUCAACGGUUUUAUUCCCUUAAAAUAAAUGAAUUAAAAACAAUGUUAAUUGUUUUAUGAGUUAAUAAUUUUAUAUUAAUUUAUUUAUUUUACUUUCUAUUUAUUAGUCUUAUGAAUAAUUUAUAAGAUUUAACAAUUUUAUUAUAUGUAAUAUUUAAAAAAAUACUAUUAGCAUUUAUUAUUUAAUAAAUCUAUUUAGAUAUUUUUUAAAUUGUUAUUGAUGACAGAGUUUGGGUCAAUGGUCAACAAUUAAUAGUUACUACGAUUUUUUUUCCCUCCCUUUCUAAUUGAUAGAUUUCAUGUGUUCCGAAAACGAAGUUUAGAGAAAAAGAAAAGGAAAAGGAAAAAAAAUGGCUGUGAGGCCAAUUUCCCAGGGUCUUGGUUGGAAUGCGCGCAUGUACACAGGCUGAAGCCAGCAAGAUGGUUGGUAUCAAACAUAUAUACCUUGCUUGAUUCUGGAACCUUCAAUGUUAUUGGAACGAAGAUUCAGAGUGGUAAGUGAAGUUAGUGUAUUCAAAUAUGGUAAUAUGUUGUCGUUGAGGAAAUCACCACCAAGAUUUAAGAUCUUCAGCUGUUUCAAACUCCUAAGGCUGUCGUAAGCUGCAAAUGCAUAAAAAUUAUUAUCAUUAAUUAGUCACUGACAAAAUAAUUAUGAAUGAGUAAUACAUACAUAUGCUUGUACCAAUUAUCAGCUGUUUCAACCAGAGACUAUAGGUCGGGGUAAUUCUCCUGAAAAAUUAUUUCUAGACAAAUCCUGCAUAUAUAACUCUUUCAUCUCACCUAUUGAAUAAGGAAUAUCACCUUCAAAAAUAUUUUUUGGCAUAUCCAAAUAAAUCAAUUUCUGAAGGACAAUACCCAUAUUCCGUGGUAGCUUACCAGCGAAAUUGUUAUUGGAACUAUCUAGAUGACGAAGCAUAUCGUGUUUGGCAUUGGGAAGUAGAUGAAGAAUUCCUGAGAGUGAGUUGUUCGCCAAAGACAAAUAUUUUUAUCUUGUGUUGUUUUGGAACAACCAAAUUGGGAAAUUGCCAACCACCUUAUUAUUAGAGAGGUCAAGGAAUAUUAAGUGGUACUGUUGUAAAAGAAAACUAGGAAUGACAUGUAAGUGGCAGUCGGAUAAUUUGAGAACCUUCAAUUGAGAUGUGGGGUGCCAGGUUUCAGUUUUCACUUGUAACAUAUUGCUUCCUGAUGAGAUUAACAAGACCUCGAGCUUCGAAUGAUUAGCCAAUGAAUUUAUUGAGAUUGUUCCUUGGAAAUUAAUGGAAAAGCGAUCUAAAUAUUCAAGUGAUGUGAGAUUAGUCAAGGUAGAAGGAACUUUUCCACUUAAUUGAUUAUUAGAAAUAUCAAGAACUUUGAGAUGCGUUAAGUUGUUGAGACACUGAGGAAUGUGACCCUCAAAGUUAUUUGAGCUUAGAUCCAACUCAAAAAGAUUCUUCAAAUUACAUAUUCCUAAACUUGAAAAUAAAAGAUUAAAAUUUUAUAGAAUGAAAACUAAUUAUAGCGAAUUCGGUCAAAAUCCAAUACAAGACUUAAAAAACAGAUAAAAAUCAAAUUUCCUAAUUAUUUUGGUCAGCGGUUUUAUUCCAUUAAAAUAAAUGAAUUAAAACCAUGUUAAUUGUUUUACGAGUUAAUAAUUUUAUAUUAAUUUAUUUAUUUUACCUUCUAUUUAUUAGUCUUAUGAAUAAUUUAUAAGAUUUAACAAUUGUAUUAUAAGUAAUAUUUUAAAAAAAUACUAUUAGCAUUUAUUAUUUAAUAAAUCUAUUUAGAUAAUUUAAAAAUUUGUUAUUGAUGUCAGAGUUUGGGUCAAUGGUCAACAAUUAAUAGUUACUACGAUUUUUUUUUUCCCUCCCUUUCUAAUUGAUAGAUUUCAUGUGUUCCGAAAACGAAGUUUAGAGAAAAAGAAAAGGAAAAGGAAAAGGAAAAGGAAAAAAAAAAAUGACUGCGAGGCCACUUUCCCAGGGUCUUGGUUGCAAUGCGCGCAUGUACACAGGCUGAAGCCAGCAAGAUGGUUGGUAUCAAACAUAUAUACCUUGCUUGAUUCUGGAACCUUCAAUGUUAUUGGAACGAAGAUUCAGAGUGGUAAGUGAAGUUAGUGUAUUCAAAUAUGGUAAUAUGUUGUCGUUGAGGAAAUCACCACCAAGAUUUAAGAACUUCAGCUGUUUCAAACUCCCCAAGCUGUCGUAAGCUGCAAAUGCAUAUGAAUUAUUAUCAUUAAUUAGUCACUGACAAAAUAAUUACGAAUGAGUAAUAUAUACAUAUGCUUGUACCUUUAUUCUCAUAGAAGCCUUUAAACCAAUUAUCAGAUAAGUCAAGGCACUGCAAUUCUUCGAAAGGGUGAAACAAUGACAUAUUCAGAAGAGAAACUUCAUAAGAAUAAAAGAGUUAUAAUCAGAGUAGUUGAUUUUUGUUUUCUGAUUGAGUGAGAGUUGCGUCACCCGUUGGGCGGUGGCGUUGCACUUAACUCUCUCCCAAUCGUUACAACAAUCAGACGACAUUCCAUCAUCAUCAAAUCAUGAAGAAAGAACUUCGUCAUCAUAUCCAACAUCACUGGCUGAUGCGAAGAAGCUCUUGAUUUCCAACAGAGCAAUCCUCUCUGUUUCCAAGCAUGCUUUGUAUCCAUGUAACUGAAUCAAAGCUAUGCCAAUCCACAAUGACAACUUCAUCAAAAGCAUUUUCAUUAUUAAUAUUAACUGCGAGAGAAACACUCACAAGAUUUACCUGUCAAUUGUUGCUCUCUUGAAUUUUUUCUGGUUCUCUAGCAAAUAUAUGACUUACAUAUACAAUGGCAGUUUUGUGCAGAAUGAAAAUUUUGCGCAUUUUCACGUGCCCUGUCAAUGAGAAAACAUGCAUUGAUUGAAAAAAGUAAGCGAGAGAAUAUUACCUGUUGAUACAUGUUAUCUGCUUGUGACUUUAGUACCGUCCAAAGAAAUUGAAAUGUGAAAUAAUUGAAGAUGCAAAAUGGUUGAUUUCACGGGCCUGGCCUUUGGCAAAGCGAAAUGUUAGCCACACACUUUACCAGUCAAGUGUCAACAUUUGUAGCAUAAGGAAAUUGCGGCAUCUCAGCUGGAUUUUGAGGGUCGCUAUUUCGUAUAUCAGUCCCAUUUGUUAGUGGGGACUCACACUCUGUCCUAUAGUGGGCUCACAAAUAUUUAACAUAAUUUUGAUAAUUACUUAAACCGCGUUUCCUUGAUAAUUAAAGAAAAAGAGAAGUGAAUGGAGUAAAAGAUACUGAUGACCGUAAUUAUGCAAAUAAAUACAAGACUUUACAGUAGAUUAGACCACCAAUUGUGCUUUUUCGUCCAAUAAUAAUGCAUCUGCUUUAACACGAUACGAGUGAACUUAGGCUUAUCUUUCUUUCGCAAUGUAAAUUCUUGCCAAAAAAUACAUGUUAUCUACUGGUGAAUUAGUUUGAUAAAAUAAAGGCUUAAAGUUUAGUUGAGUAAAAUGUUGGUGUAAAGAAAUUAGCUACUGGAAAAUCACCAAAUGCUUGUUAAGGUAAUAUACAAUUGCAAUUGAACAUCAAGUGAUGGAAACAUCAAAAACCCCAUAAAAAAUUAAACAAAACCAGUUGCAAUGCAAAUAAACAAGUUUUCAGUUAAGAUGGCAGAACUAAUUCCUUCACAAUCAAGUGUGAUUUCUCAAUUUGUUCUAUUUGCCCAAAAAGACAUGGUCAAGUAUCUGAAAGCAUUUUUAUUUAGUUGACUAUUCGAGUUUGAAUUUGGAAUAAGAGGUUAAAAAAUAAGUUUUGUCUUUACUCACCUCUUCCUUUAGAAAAAGAAAAAUUUUAAUUUUUUAUCAAGCUCACUUAAAUGCAUCAUGUGCAAAUCACGUGACAUCUUGAGCUACCAUGUAAUUUGGCUUGAUAAGUGUUUUCUGUUUCUGAAAACGAAAAAUAAUAAAAUGGAAAUGCCUUUAGCUAUUGGCUAGACAUUUUCAGAAACGUUUUUCGUGAACAGCAAAGGUUUUUGUAAAGAGGCAUUGAGCGGUCAGGCUCUUGUCGUGGCCUGCGGCCUGCAGUCCUCAACAAUCCUCAUUUGGCCUCUUUAUAAUCCACUUUUAAUAAAGUAUAGAUAAAAAUAGAUAUAUUACCGGUUUUCAAAUUACACUUAAUAUUAUUAAAUCUUUAGACGGAGCUUUAAAUCUAUAAAUUCAAACUUCCAACAUAUCAUAAAUUAUUUUUAGAGCCCGCAUGUUGGAUUGUCUCAUUUAAGUUUCACUUUGAUUUCUAACACAUCAUUCAAAUGAGUUGCUAUAGUAUAUCUAGCUAGUUUUGAACAAAGCAAGUGAGAAUAUUACAUCUGCUUUAGCAAGAAACGAGUGAAUGAAAACAUUUGACCAGAUUCAAGAGAGAAAAGAAUGUUGAAAUAUUGACUUGAAUAUUAUGGUAAAAUGAGUUUGACUUUAGUACCGACCAAAGAAAUAAUUGAAGAUGCAAAUUGGUUAGUUUGACGUGCAUGGCUAUUGGCAAAGUGAGAUCCAUUGGAUCCUCGCGUGCCUGCCCCACAAAAGUUUCUCCCUAACAAUCUCCAUCAAACCUCUUUAUAAUCCAUUUUUGAUAAAAUAUGAAUAAGGAUACAUAUUGUUUGAGGGAAAAAUAGGAAAGGUAAUAGAGCGCCACGUGUCAACCAAUGGAAUGAUUUCAGCACAAUCGGAGGUAUCCUCCACAACCCGAGGUGCCCGGCAUGACUUGAGGUACCCCGUAUAAGUAGAGGUACCCUGCACAAUUAGAGGUAUCCCACACAAAUAGAGGUACCCCAUAUAAUGAGGUACCCCAUACAAAUAGAGGUAUCCCAUACAAAUAGGGGUACCCCGCGUAAUAGGGGGUACCCCGCGUAACUCGAGGUACCCGGCGAAGCGGAUGUAAGAGAAUCCACCGAACAUAUCCCCAUGAGAAACGUCUCCGCCUCUUAAAAGAUAUUAUUUGAUUUUGUCAGAAUUAGGAAUCAAGAACGUCGUAUCAAAAGGGGGGGACAGCCGCCUGCUACCUCUGCCAAAAGUGAAGGACACUGUCCCAAGGACAGUGGUCCCCAGCCGCCUACCCAACAGCUACUGCAGAGGUACCCCGGACCACUCUCCAGCGCGCGCCAUGUUUCCAAAAGAUGAGAUACGCCGCGAACAUGCAUAUAAUGGCCCGAAGAAUCAUAAAAGCGGUAAAAGGACGUUAGCCAAAAAGGGUACGCCACGUGGCAGCUAAGGUACUCCGUAUAUAAAGGCGCCUAGGUUUCAUUCUCCAGGAUGCUCUCACUCACCAUUAACACUCACACUUCAAAAAAUAGGUUUUCUUCAACCUUAGACCCUAAUUUACAGAGGGCUAGCCAGCUCUCUUUGCCAUAAAAGCUUGAGUUUGCUAACUUGAGCGUCGGAGUGUGAAUGCCGGGGUACCCCGGCUUCACCUCUAACCUCCAUUUCACUGUUUUGCAGGCGUGAAGCUCAUUUUGGAAGGACAUCUCUCUUGUUUCUGACCUUCCACCAUUGUUACCACUCUCUCUCUCAUUUUCACCUCCCCCAAAUUUCAGAUGCACCGCACACAACAAACCAGUGAGGUACCCCAUCUCCCCCAAAAAUAUAAAUUCAUUGUUUAAGAUAGAUUUUGGCUUUUCCUACCCCAAAAUCAGUUGAAAACAAUUGGCGCCGUCUGUGGGGAGCUCGAACAAAAAGCCUCUUCCGCGGUUACCAAACUAGUUGUUGUGUGUACUCCAAUACAUGGCACCCGACGUACCUCCCGAAGGUUUAAUGGGGGAUCCUACAAGGAUGAGAGAUGACAGCAACAGUGAAUGUAGUGAUCCCGCAAGAAGGGUAGCCCGCAUCAGCAAGGGCAAAGGUAUCAAGCAAUCGACGGGUGUUCGCCAAGAAGAGGAACCUAUUUCGCACAAGCGCUUUAAGGAUCUUGCCCACACAAUACUUAGGGCGGUCGGAUCUCGAGCACCCGAAAGUUCGCUUCCACCAGUGACGCUAGAAGCUCCACCACCUCAAACGGACGACCAAGCUAUGGUCAGAAGAGGGGUACCCGAGGCCAGCAAGCUAAAGCCUAGGCCAUCGGGUACCCGUUCUAAGUUUCAAACCGUGGGCUCUCGCGACGAGCGUUCCACCGCCUCUUGCAAUUCCCACAGCAGCCAGGGUACGAGGCGUGCAAAGCGUACCCACGAGGAUCUCCGUGAGAAGCUAAACGCCAAAAGGGCUUCUCAAAUGGCGGCGACAUCAUUGGGUACACCGAGGGUACCCCUCGAACUUGUGGAAAAGAUGGAGAACCUAGAAGCCCAAGUGAAACUCCUCUCCGAGAAGCAAAACAUCACAGCUGCACCAACGCCAAUGACCUACCAGUCACCAUUCACUAUGGAGAUUAGGACGACAGCUCUCCCCGAGGCGUUCGCCAUGCCUCAGAUACCCCAAUACUCGGGUACCAGUGAUCCCUCAGAGCAUGCUGAGUUAUACCGCGACCAAAUGCUUAUCAAAGGUGUAGAUGAGAGCGCCAUGUGUAGGAUGUUUACACACACACUCACGGGCCCCGCGAAGUCAUGGUUUCGCUCUUUAAAAGCGGGUAGCAUAUCUUCCCUACACCAAUUGCUAUCCGAAUUUACUAAAGAGUUUUCCUAUGCAUCCACUCAAGAUAGGGUAGCCUCCAAACUUGCCUUUAUCAAGCAAGGGGAAGCCGAGCCUUUGGCGGAGUAUGUGAGUCGUUUCCACCAAGAGGUGCUGCGAACCGGAGCAUUUGGAAACCAAUACACAUUGACCCAUUUUGACAAAAAUUUGAGGUUGGACAAGUUAUGACGUUCUUUUCAAAAGAAGCGCCCACUUUCAUAUGGGGAAGCCCGUUCCCGGGCGUUGCAGCAGGUGGAGAUGGACGAAAAAUGUCAAUUGAAGCGCCAAGAAGAUAAGGCCGAUGUUACAAAGAACAAGGAGAAGCCCAAAAGGAUGGAGGCCCCAAUACCGAGGGUACCACAACCACGGAGCCCUCCACGGGUUGCCCCGCGAGGACGGGGGUACAACCCUCUGGGUACCUUAAGGGUACCCCAACCUCCAAGACCGCCACCACCGGAUCAGCGAGAGCCACCACCGAGGCCUCGGUACGAAUCUUACCACCCACUGAAUCGAUCCCCAGAGCAGAUCUUCUACCAUAUUCGGGAUAGCGGCCUCCUCCGUCCUCUUAAGCCAAUGAAGAAGUACCCCAACAUGAAGCGUAGCCUGAAGUAUUGCGAGUUCCAUGAAGACUUUGGUCACAGCACAGCCGAAUGUUCCACCUUGCGAGAGGAAAUUGAAUCUUUGAUUCUCAGCGGGUACCUCAAAGAAUUUGUUGCUGGCAUGAGAGAAGCUCGGAAAUCCGCGGAGCAGGAUAAGGGCAAAUGGGUAGCUGAUGGCAAUCCUGAACGAGAAGUACCCCCUGGACAUAAGAAAGGCGUGUAUGUUCGGAUGAUCAUGGGCGGACCGACUUUGGCGGGCCAAUCUAGGAGGGCUAUCAAAGGCUAUGGUAGAUCGUUGUCGAUAACCACCAAUAUGGGCAGAGAAGUCAACCUUAAUGAUUGGGAUACACCAAGGGUACCCCACCAUCCCCCGCCUAUCCUUUUUACAGAAAAAGAUGCGGAGGGCAUCUCGUACCCCCACGACGAUGCCUUCGUAAUCACGUUGAAGGUUGCUACUGGUAAGGUAGCAAGAACUCUCUUAGAUACCGGCAGCUCCGUUGACAUCAUUUUCAAAAGCGCCUUGGAUCAACUAUUGAUUGAGUCGCCAAAGAUCACCCCAUAUGCUACGCCUCUUAUUGGGUUCGCUGGAGAUAUGGUUAAACCAAAGGGCAUCAUUACGCUGCCCGUUACACUUGGUAAGGUACCUCACCGUGUUGUUCAUAUGAUUGAUUUUCUUGUUGUAGAUCACCCGGGUGCCUACAAUAUUAUAUUGGGUAGGCCGUUCUUAGUAGCAACUAAAGCGGUGGUAUCCAUGCACUACCUCGCCAUGAAAGUCCCGGCCGCCCAAGAAGUUAUCACCAUUAAAGGGGACCAGCAAUCGGCUCGUGGAUGUUAUUCCGUGGCCUCCAAGGUUACUUACCAAAUAGCUUCCGAUCCGCCAAUGAAGGGGUACCCCAGUAGCAGCCAGCCCACACCUUCCCCCUCAAAGCGAGCACUUGCUAGACAGCGGGGAGCAGUACUCAAAAAAUCUCCUCAUGUAGACCACCCACGAAAACAGUUGGAGUCUUCACCAAUGGGGGCAGAAGCAGUUACAGGGGAUAGCUCGAGGGUACCCCACGGGGACCAGGAGGAGCCUAGAUGUGAAGUUGAGGCACCUUUGGAUCCCCGAAUAUUGAAAGAUGAAAAGCGGGGUACCCCAGUUGAAGACCUUAUUUCAAUCUUGAUUUGUGCCACCGACCCAACAAAGACAGUGAAAGUAGGCUCCAACCUCUCGGAGGAACAAAGAGAGAAGCUCAUCACCUUCCUACGCGAGCACCACGAUGUAUUCGCUUGGUCCCACUCGGAUAUACCGGGUAUCCCACCUUCCCUCUCUUGUCACAAACUCAAUGCCAGCCCGCAUAAUAAACCGGUCAAACAGAAGCGUCGCGCCUUCAACCAAGAGAGGUACGAUGCAAUUGAACAAGAGGUAGACUGCCUAUUAGCAGCAAGAUUUAUCUAGGAAGCAGUGUACCCCGAUUGGGUAUCCAAUGUUGUUCUUGUCAAGAAAUCAAACGGAAAGUGGCGUAUGUGUGUGGACUUCACCGAUUUGAACAAGUCCUGCCCCAAGGAUAGCUUCCCGCUUCCCCGGGUGGACCAGCUGGUUGAUGCAACAGCGGGGCAUGAGAUGCUUAGUUUUAUGGACGCCUUCUCCGGGUACAACCAAAUCCCGAUGUAUGAACCCGAUCAAGAGAAAAUGGCCUUCAUCACCAACCGGGGGUUAUACUGUUAUAAGGUUAUGCCGUUUGGUUUGAAGAAUGCCGGGGCCACCUAUUAGCGGCUAGUAAACAAAAUUUUCAAAAAACAAAUCGGGCGCACCAUGGAGGUGUACAUAGACGACAUGAUCACCAAAUCAGUGCAUGCGGGGGAACAUCUGGGGCACCUUAGAGAUACAUUUACCGUUUUGAGAAGACACCAGAUGCGGCUUAACCCUGAAAAAUGUGCAUUCGGGGUCACCUCGGGAAAAUUUCUUGGGUUCAUGGUACAACAACGGGGAAUUGAGGCCAACUCCGAUAAAAUUCGCGCGGUUCUUGACAUGAAAUCUCCACGCACCAUCAAGGAGGUUCAACGCUUGGCAGGCCGGCUAGCUGCCCUAAGCCGCUUUAUCUCCAAGGCUACUGACCGAUGUAAGCCUUUUUUUCAAAGCUUUGAAGACCGGCAAGAAGCUCCAAUGGACACCCGAUUGCGAAGAGGCUUUCCAAGAACUGAAGGGGUACCUCGUGAAUGCUCCACUACUUGCCAAACCUGAGCCGAGAGAGGUGCUUCUGUUGUAUCUCGCCGUAUCCGAGCACGCCACCAGCUCUGUGUUACUCUGAGAGGAUGAUAAUGGGGUACAACGACCUAUCUACUACACUAGUAAGGCUAUGGCUGAUGCCGAAAAGAGGUACCCCACCUCUGAGAAGAUCAUUUUGGCAUUGGUUAUCUCCGCACGGAAGCUCAGACCAUAUUUUCAGGCUCACACCAUUGCGGUCGUCACCAACCUUCCCCUCCGGCAAAUCUUUCAGAAGUUAGACAUGUCCGGAAGGCUUCUCCGAUGGUCCCUCGAAUUAAGCGAGUUCGACGUCAUCUUCAAGCCUCGUUCGACGAUUAAAGCCCAGGUCAUCGCUGAUUUCAUUGCGGAAUUCGCCAAUGACUCAAGUGGUGAAGGUGAUCUGAGAUACCUGUUAGAUACCCCACCCACCGAUGAAGAGGAACAGGUCUAGGAAAUAUAUGUGGAUGGUUCCUCUAACUCACACAGAAGUGGCGCGGGAGUUAUUAUAAUUGACCCAAACAAGGUGAAAAUAUGCUACGCCCUGCAAUUCGGAUUCAAGGCUUCAAACAACGAAGCCGAAUACGAGGCAAUCAUAGCGGGGUUGAGGAUGUCGAAGGCUUUGGGAGCAAAAAGGGUACACGUCAAGAGUGACUCACAGUUGGUGGUAAGCCAGAUUACCGCGCAAUAUCAAGCAAAAGAAGAAAACAUGAAGGGAUACCUCAGAAAAACCAGAGAGUUGAUGUCCCAAUUUUGUGAGGUUAAGGUGGAAAGGGUACUCCAACUGGAGAACAGUGAAGCCGACACCCUGGCAAAAAUGGCAUCCCUUGGGGUAGCUCAGUUAUCUGGCCCCAUUACAACAGAAUACAUACCCGCACCCAGUGUUGGUCUCCCAGAGCCAUUGGAAGUAGAAUCGUUGUCCAACGAGGUGUUUUGGAUGGAGUCUAUCAUAAGGUACCUCAAGGACGAGGACCUCCCCUCAGACAAAAGUGAAGCAAAAAGACUAAACUACAAAGCCGCGCGGUACUGCCUGAUCCAGGAUACCCUAUACAGAAGAGGGUUCACUCUUCCUUACCUUAAAUGCUUGGGAAGCGACGAGGCCGAGUAUGUCAUGAGGGAGAUACAUGAGGGGAUUUGUGGCAAUCACUAUGGAGCACAAUCACUGGCGCAAAAAGCUCUCCGUCAGGGGUACUAUUGGCCAACCAUGCGGGAAGAUGCCAAUAAUAUGUCAAGAUACCUGAUAUGCCAAGAUCGUGAUGAUCUAUGUAAAGCCAAGAUGGGCAACAGAGGGAACAGCCCAGGGGUAGCCUUUCUGCGGAAGCAUGACCGAGCUACCUAAACAAAGAGAGGGAGGGUCAAAGAGGACCCGAGGGUGAAGGAAAAUCGUCAUACCCUAGCGACACGAGGUUCGGCUUAGGUAUGAGAAUACCCACACCUCCGUUCUCGUACUUGAGCAAAGUAGGGGGUAAGCUAUUCAAAAAUUCGGAGAGAACUUCGAAAGAAUAAGAAAUUGAUUGGUUGGACCAAUUGCGCACUUUCAAUUUUUGAUCGAGAUGUCGCGAUGAUGUUUUGAUUACCUAUUUGUGGGAAAUCCGCCAAGGUUGCCGAGAAGGGCAUGCACCAAAUUCGCCGAUCUGUGUAAACCAACAGGCGCCUGAUGUUGAAUAUUUGUUAAGGUACCAGGAGUACCCCAUUUCAAAAAAAAAAAAAAUGAGAGGUACCCUAAGCAUUUACAAGAUAACAGUUUAGCCAAGCAUUCAUUUACAGAAUAACAAGAAUGCAAAGUAUAAGAGGGCUCGGUGGCAUAGUAUCAUAACAAAAGUGAAGUCCCAAUCAUACAAAAUAUCUCAGGAAACCAAAAAGAAAGAAACAAGGUCCAAACAACAAAAUGUGGAUAGAUCCGAAAAAACAAGGGCACAGUGAAAAGGCUACACCGAGGGGGGAACGCCAUCCCCGACAUCCGUCUCCAGAGGGCGAUCUGCAGAGGACUCCGAGGUACCCGGAAUAUGAGCAGCCAAAGUAGGGGCAUCCAAGGCAGGCAACGGCUGAAGCGCACGGGGUACCCUAGGCGACCCGGAAUGGGUACCCGACCGUGCCUGAGAAGAUUUCUUCCUUUCUGCAAUCGUCUUCAGAAUCGUAGCCUUGUUGACAAAUUUCUGCACGCGGGGUACCUCUAAUUCCGGAUCCACACUCCACACCUCUGUCAUAAUGAGUGAGAAUGCAUCCUCCGCCAUCGUCUUUUGUCGGGAUAGCAGAUCCCCGUUGGUGGCCCUCAACUCCUCAGACCUCACAGUCCUUCUCCACCCGAGCUUUCUCUCCCGACAGGCCAGCAAUGCGUUCUUGCAAAGUUUUAACUUCUCGAGCAAGCUGAUCCUCGCAAGACUAACGGCUUUGGAGCUCACCCCUUAACUUGUCGACCUCUGACUGGGCGGCAACGAGAGAGUCAAGGUCUGGAAGGCAGUGGCUGAGGAGAAAAGAUGCAUGCGGGUCAUAAAAGACAUGUUAAAUAUAUACGUGUGGCAAUAGGAUUAAGUAAAAAAAAAAAAAUUGAAGGGUACACCCGGGGUACCCCGGGAAAGCCUACCUCUUAGGUAGCCCUAAGUGCUUGACCAUAGCGUUGGCUCAAACUCAUCUUGUCAGUCUCCUCAGCAACCUCAGAGGUAACAUUUUCGGCGGAGUAGUAGAAACAGCGAGCUAAGUGCGAAACCUCCCUGUUGGAAGCCGGGUCUAGGUCACCUUCGCGCAACUCCUCGGGGAAAGCGGAAACCAGCCCGAAUUUUCUCUUCUUCGAGCGAGGGGUACCCUUCGACCUGCUGUGGGAGGUACCCUGAGAUUUCCCCUUUGGACCGGGAGCUCGAGGAGGUCGGGAGCCUUUCGGGGGUACCGCUGAAUCCUGAGAUCCGGAAGCACCGCCCACUACCACUUGGAAAAAGGCGUCGAAAGCGUCACCCGCCGAUUCCAUAACUGCACCCAAUGCACAAAAGUCAUGUUAGCCGAAUAAGUACUAAAUACUACAAAAGCAAAAAUAGGAAAUGAAAAGCGGGGAAGCAAAAUAAAGACGCGGUGAUAACGGGGUACCCCAAUCCCGUAGAUAAUAAUAGGGUACCCCUCGACACCCGAAUCAUACAUGAGUCACCUCCAGGAGCAGGUGGAGGACUUCGAUCGAUCAGCCCCGCUCUCCAUAAUCUACUCUCCUCCAGCACAUCACUACCCCUCUGUGCACCUCGAAGCCUAUCCACAAACUUCUUCACCUCUCUCCCCACCUCCUGAACUGGGCAUGACCCUUUAGCCCAUGUCACACCUGCGAAAGAAUGAAAAACCCAAGGUUAGCGAGACAUUCAUGUAAAAUAUUACGAUAAAUAAUCGUAAGUAAGAGAGAUACUUACAGUCUACAUUGAAGGAAUGAAGAACCUCCAUGGGGUUGCCCUUUUCACUCAGAGUCUCUGUCCCCCACCUACCCUCAGCGACAAACCAUCCCUUUUGGUAACCCUUCUUCAAGGCGGGGUUCCCCUCAACGAUGUGGCCAUGAUCACCCCAAUGGGAGAAGUAAGCAAUGCCGGGACCCUUAGGCUUCUUGAAUUGGUAAAGGCCUCUCAACUCCCGAACAGAAAUGUCGUGCUUCACGACCUCCAACCAUAACACAUGUAAGCCCGUCAGUGUCCUCCACCCUGGAAGGGACAGCUGUCCAGGAGCUACCCCCAAAUAACUAAACAUUUUCAUAAAGAAUGGUUGGAGGGGCAGGCGGAGUCCUGGAUCGAAGAGGUCGAUAUGGAGAGCAAUCCCAUCAGACUGUGGACACUCGGGUCGCUCAUCCACAUGGGGUACCCUAAGCUGGACAGACGGAGGAAUAUUGUAUUUGGCUCUAAUUUUCUCUAAGUCCCCCAAAGUGGCCCUCCUAAUGCCUAAGGAAAAAGGGUUGCUAGAUUUUGAAGGUAUGGCAGGGGGAGAUUUAGGCUGCUGGUCCGAGGAACGAGCUGGAACCUUAGGUUUGGUUGACUUACCCUUCUUUCAAGAAUGUGGGGUAGGCCGUUUACUAGGAAAGCGUGGGCUGACACGAGGGGUACUCCUAGGAGGAGGGAGCUCAGAACGAGAAUUGCAACUCCUAGAGGAAUUUGGGGGGGACCGAUCCCCCUCGCUGAUGGAGAUGUGGGAAGGGGAACCCGCAGGAGGGCUGUCAACCCUACUAGCCCCAACUUUACGUCGCUUCCUCGGGGGUCCCGUGUGUUUCUUGCCCAUCUACUUUCCCCCAACAACACAUCCACAAGUCCCCAACAAUACACCCAACAAUACAUCCAACGAGCCGCAUGUUCCCUAAACAAUACAUCCACAAGCCCCCAACAACACAUCCAACAAGCCACAUGUUUUCCAAACAGCAACAUAUUCAUACCAAGCACCACCCACCACACAUCAACCACCAAAUGCAAACACCAAUCAACAAAAAAAAAAAAAAAAGAGGCAACAAAAACAAAAAUAAACUUUUCUCAGAGUAUGUAAAAUAGCGCCACUGUGAAUGUGCCAAAUGAGGAGAAACAAGGAAGGAUACCUGUGAUUCACCAUCUCAGCAGAUCGGGAUUGAUAGUCGUGGGGAAAUAAAGCUGCAGGAAACCAAAAAUAGUAAGUAAAAAAAAAAAAAAAAAAAGCCUGGAGAUAAAAAAAAAAAAAGAGGAGCUUGGAGAUAUAUAAAAAAAAAAGUCAGAAUAAAAAAAAAGAAAUGGAAGAGCUUGGAUAAAAAAAAAUGGGAGAAGCCUGGAGAUAAAAGAAGUAAAAAAAUUAAAAAAAAAAUAAAAAAGAAGGAAGCUUGAAGAUAUAAAAAAGGAAGCCUGGAGAUAUAUAAAAAAAAAAGUGAGAAAAGCCUCCAGGAUGAUGUAGAAGAAAAAGAGAGGAGCAUGGAUAAAAAAAAAAAAAAAAAAGAGUGAGGAAAGCCUCCAGGAUGAUUUAGAAGAAAAAGAGAGGAGCAUGGAUUAAAAAAAAAAAAACAAGGCCACAGGAAGAGACGAAGAAGCAAAAUGGGGGGUAGAAGAUGGCUUACCACAAGGAGAUCACUGCACCACCAGCCGAACGCCGUCGUCACGCCACCAGAACCGCUCGGUAGACACCGCCGUUACAAGGCCGGCCAAAAAAAAAAAAAGAAAAAGAAGAAAAAAGGAAGAUGAAGAAAAGAGAAAGAAAAUGAAAGUGAUAAAAAAAAAAAAAAGGUGCGAAAGUUGCCUGGAAUGAAUUAAAGAAAAGACAAAGGAAGAAAUGCAAAAGAGAAAGAAAAUGUGACAGUAGAAAAAAAAAAAAAAAAGGGAGAUGGAAGACGAAAGGACAAGAAGAAAAAAGUAGAAUAAAGAAGAAAAAGUGGAGAUGGGGAGGCGUUAGAAUUUGGAGAAAAAGAUGAAAAGUUUUUGGGGAUGGCAAAAUGAAAGAGAAUAAAGGGUGAAUGAAAAAAGGUGAUUUAUUAAAAAAAAAAUGAAGCUGGUGAUUGAAAUGAUUUGAUUGGUUUUUGAAUUUUAAAAGCCAGAGCAAGCAAGAAGCCACUGGAAGUAAUGGGAGAUUAUGUUGGGAUUUUCAAAAUAAAUGAGAGAAGAUUGACACACGUUAGGAGUUUUAAUUCAACCUGACAGAACACGUUGCCCAAGAAAGGAAUUCAGGGAUGUUUUUGUGAGAUUGAUAUUUUCAAAAUUCAAACUACAUGUCAGACGGCUGCCACUUCCCGAGAAAAAAGAGAGAGACACAUGAAGAAAACUGUUCGUUCUCAUCGUCCAAAAAAAAAAAAAAAAAGGAAAAGGCAAAGACAAAGAGAAGACUUUUAGUUUGAAGUACACAAAGUUUAGUCAAGGGAAGAAGCUAAGCAAGGUACCCUCCGGUUCAGCCGCGUCGCCACGUGUCACUCAUACAAUGAGUUUCUUUUGCCUCCAAUACUUCUCGCCAAAAAGAAACUAGGGGGAUGUUGUUUGAGGGAAAAAUAGGAAAGGUAAUAGAGCGCCACGUGUCAACCAAUGGAAUGAUUUCAGCACAAUCGGAGGUACCCUGCACAACCCGAGGUGCCCGGCAUGACUUGAGGUACCCCGUAUAAGUAGAGGUACCCUGCACAAUUAGAGGUAUCCUACACAAAUAGAGGUAUCCCAUACAAAUAGGGGUACCCCACGUAACUCGAGGUACCCGGCGAAGCGGAUGUAAGAGAAUCCACCGAAAAUAUCCGCCAUGAGAAACGUCUCCGCCUCUUAAAAGAUAUUAUUUGAUUUUGUCAGAAUUAGGAAUCAAGAACGUCGUAUCAAAAGGGGGGGACAGCCGCCUGCUACCUCUGCCAAAAGUGAAGGACACUGUCCCAAGGACAGUGGUCCCCAGCCGCCUACCCAACAGCUACUGCAGAGGUACCCCGGACCACUCUCCAGCGCGCGCCAUGUUUCCAAAAGAUGAGAUACGCCGCGAACAUGCACAUAACGGCCCGAAGAAUCAUAAAAGCAGUAAAAGGACGUUAGCCAAAAAGGGUACGCCACGUGGCAGCUAAGGUACUCCGUAUAUAAAGGCGCCUAGGUUUCAUUCUCCAGGAUGCUCUCACUCACCAUUAACACUCACACUCCAAAAAAUAGGUUUUCUUCAACCUUAAACCCUAAUUUACAGAAGGCUAGCCAGCUCUCUUUGCCAUAAAAGCUUGAGUUUGCUAACUUGAGCGUCGGAGUGUGAACGCCGGGGUACCCCGGCUUCACCUCUAACCUCCAUUUCACUGUUUUGCAGGCGUGAAGCUCAUUUUGGAAGGACAUCUCUCUUGUUUCUGACCUUCCACCAUUGUUACCACACUCUCUCUCAUUUUCACCUCUCCCAAAUUUCAGAUGCACCGCACACAACAAACCAGUGAGGUACCCCAUCUCCCCCAAAAAUAUAAAUUCAUUGUUUAAGAUAGAUUUUGGCUUUUCUUACCCCAAAAUCAGUUGAAAACACAUAUAUUUAUCCAAAUAUUAGUAAAAAAUAGAUAUAAUGCUGAUUUUUAAAUUUUACUUAAUGAACAUUUAGACCGAGCUGUAAGUCUAUGAAUUCUAACUUCUACAACACCACAAAUUAUUUUUCAGCCGUAUGUUGGAUUGUCUCCUUUAAGGCUGUGUUUACUAAACUGGAAUGGGAAUCGAAACGGAGAAAUUGGAAUGAAUAACUUGUUUGUUUGUUAAAUUGAUGCUAGGAAUGGGAAUAAGGUGAGCGGGCUCCAAGGUCUUGAAGAGGAAAGAUCACUAUGGCUCCAAGGUCUGGAAGAGGCAAGUCCAAUAAAGCCAAGGCUGACAAGAAGAAGAAAGAAGAGAAAGGCUUCAUUUAUUAAUCCUUAUUAUUCACUUCUUUCAUUGGAAAGUGCUUUUGCUUUCUAGCUUCCUUAUGUUCAUUGUUUUUUUAUUGUGCAGUAGUGCCCAGUGUUCUUGAUAUCACAAUCAUCACCCCAUAUGAAUCACAAGUUGUUCUCAAGGUAUACAUUUAUACUUAUUAUUAAUACUUUCUUGUUUUGCCCUCACCAGCUAUGAUUAGCAUUUUAUUUUUUUAAACUUUAUAAAUAUAAAUGAAUUAUUAAUUAAUCAUCUUUUUUUUUGUUUGAUUGAAAUUUGCUCAAAGGGCAUCUCCACUGACAAGAUACUUGACGUGAAAAAAUUGUUGGCUUCCAAUGUAGAAACUUGCCACCUCACAAAUUAUUUUCUCUCUCACGAGGUAUCUAUAUUUUAUUAUCUCUCCCCCCUUUUUUUUUAUUAUGAUUAUGAAUAAUGAUAUUAAACAGUAGAUACUUUUUUUUUCCACCUUAUUUUUAUUCGUUUAUUUCUUUAUGAUAUUAAUACAAUAUUAUUAUUAUUAUUAUUAUUAUUUUAUCAGGUCAAGGGGCAGAGAUUGAAUGAUAGAGUAGAGGUUGUUACUCUAAAACCAUGUUUGCUCAGAAUAGUUGAAGGUAGGUGCAUCUCUCUCAUGUCAAAUUUUCUGAAUUAAAAAGUCCCAUGCAUGUGGAUGUGGGUCUCAUUUUAUUUGUUAUUUUUAAUUAUUAACAUUUAGAUCUUUUUAGUUGUGCAUUCAUUGCCAUACUAUUUUAGUAAACUACAUUCAUUUUAUUUUAUGUUUUUUAAGAAUUUUUUAAUUCGAAAUAAUUUUUUUAAUAUUGUUGAAAAAGACAGGUUAAAGUAAAAAAAAAAUUAUUGACUAAAUAAAUGACAUUAUUUUUUUUUAACAUAAAAAAAAAACCAAUUUGAUGCCGUCCACUUAGUCCUGCACACUUGGAACGUUACCAUGCUUUUUUGUGCUGUACAUUUGGGACUUAACUGUCCUUGUCAUUUCAAGUAAAGGUUGAAUCCGUCUCAAAAGUACAAUAAGAACGUGCAUUUAAGUAACUGGCCUAAACUUUAGAAAUUUCAGAGUUAUAGUUUACGCAGGUGACAUCUAGGACCAUUAUUAGUUUAAUCAUUAAAUGACAAAAUUUUGCCAAUGUUGAGGGGGGUACUUAAAAAUGCAAGCAUCUAGUCCUUUGCCUCUGUUUUGAUGCCCCAAUUUUUUGCUUCCUAGAUGCUCUGACUCACUCCCUCACAUCUCACUUGUGCAAACCAAGGAAGAAGGAAAAAUUAUUAUUUUCCUUUUAUAACACAAAAAACAAUAAUUCCUUUUACUGCUCCAUGUUUAUUAUUUUAUUCUAUUUUUCCAGAAUCUCUUUUUAUCAAUUAAAUUUAUGAUAUUGAUAUUGAAAAUUUGGUUAAAUCAGAAAAACUUGUUCAUAUUUCUGGUCAAUAUAAUACAUCUCCUGAAAGGUGAAAAUAGGCCAAAAAAAAAAAAAAAGGAAUGACGAUUUUUUUUUUUUUACUUUUUUAGGCAAAGGGUCGGAGAUUACAAUGAAUCUAUGUACUUGUGGAAAUUUUUUUUAAGGCAUAAAUAAGUGCAACUUGAGAGCAUUUUGUUUUUGUUCCACUAUACAUUUUAUACAAACUGCCGCCUUAGAUUGAGUGCAUCACUUCAUUAUAUAAUCAGUAAAAAUUAAUUAUAUAAAUGGAAUCAUUCUCUAUUACAAUUAUUCGACUUCAUGAAGUAACAACUGAUGUUUUUUACCACAUUGUCAAAAGAGUUCAACUUUUAUUUUAUAAAGUAUAUAUAAAUAUAUUUUAGAAAUAACUAAUAUGAUAAUACAACAUAUACAAGAAAAAAAUAAAACAAGUUUUAGAAUUAGCAGAUUAGCAUUGUUAUAAGCAAGAGUUGUCUCUAACUGCAAUAAGCUAGGCAUGUUUCUGAAGUUUGUUUCACUAGCCUUACCAAACUUUUGCUAGUUGAUAUUCAAAGUUUUUUUUUUUUAAUUUUUAUUUUUUAUAGUCAAGUGUAUCUAAUUAAACAGUCAAUCCAACAUGAAGACGACUUUGUCACUUUAUGGUCCUAAUUAUCAACCAGCUAUUAAAGUUUAAUCUAUUAAAAAAAUAUUAGUUGGCAGAAAUGUAAACAAAGCAAGAACAUUUGCAGAAGUGUAUUAUUUCUGAAUUACUAACUUUACCAUGAAUAAUUAAUAUGAUUAGAGGUUAAAAAAAUUAUUUGUAAAAGUUUAUUUAAAGAGCGAAAAUUUUAUUUUUUUUAUCCUUUUUUAGUUCUUAUAAUUAUAAUUUAAUCCAGAAGUAUUUUAAUUAUAAAAAAUUAGUUUGAAAAAUAAGUUUGAGGAAUACUUUAGUGCUUAAUAAUUAUUUUCUACUUAUAAUUAAGUUAAUAUUUAAUAGAAAGAACUAAAAUAAUAAAAGAAAAAAACUUUGCCCGGCAAUUCCUUGUUAUUUACAUUUUUAGCACAGUCCUGUGCAGAGGACUACACCGAGGAAUCUCAGGCCGUGGCACACGUGCGGCGGCUUCUCCACAUCGUCGCGUGCACCACACGGUUCUCCAAGUCCAGAAACUCCCGAUUGCUGCCAUCGUCAGAGUCAUGUGCCAAAAAGAACGGCAGUAGGCACCACCCGCCUUCACCAAACUCUGCCGCUCUGUCUGAUGGAGCAGCAACAGCAGCAGCAAAUAACCGAAGCGGGCCCCGCGCUACGUCAUCGCCAGUUUCAUCGGCGGUUUCUCCGAGUCUGGACAUGGCGGCCAUUCACUCAACGCGGAAACUCUCCCAGUUUUAUGACUUCUUCUCUUUCUCUCACCUCGUUCCCCCCAUCUUGAGUAAGCCUAAUGUCCAUUUAUUUAUUUGUCUUCGUUUUUUACAUGGUCGAUCAAAAAAAAAAAAAAGAGGAAAAUGAUAUAUAUGUGAUUUAUUUGAAUAUGAAAUUUGUUUAUUGAUUUUAAGUUUUAAUAAUUUUGAUUUUGAAGAUUGAGAAAAUGUGAACGCAAAGAAGGAGAGAAGCGCGACGGUGAUUAUUUUGAAAUUCAGGUGCCAUUUAAUAUAAAAUUCUGAUUAUUGUUGUUUGUUGUUUAAGGACUAAUUAAUUGUAGAGUUAUUCAAUUCGUUAUUUUUGUUGAUGAAUUGGCCAAUGAGUGUUAAAGAUUUAAUAAUCAUUGUCUGCUAAUUAAUAAGAAUGCAUGAAUUAUUUUCAUGUCUUUGUAAGUAAUGUGAGUAUUUGAAAGCGCGGGAAACUGUAUUUUGUGCUCACAGAUAAAAAUCUGCAAUGGAAAGCUUUUACAAGUAGUUGCAUCAGUAAAAGGGUUCUAUACUUUGGGAAAGCAGUUUUUCCAAAGCAACUCCCCGGUGGAUCUUCUGCAAAAUCUCAGUCGAGCUUUUGCCAAUGUGGGUACUCAAUAGUUGAAUCUACAGAUUAUUUUUUUCUUUUUUAUCUGAAUGCAUCUUUUUUUCCUCUGUAAAUUCAAUUAGCUUACCCAUCAAUUGUUUUGUUAAUAAUUAUGGUCAUUAUGCGUGCCGCAGGCAUAUGAAUCCCUAAUGAAAGCUUUUGUUGAACAUAAUAAGGUAACAAUUUCUGUGCUGACAUAGUUUAUUACCAAUUCAAAUGUGAUUUUAACUUGAUUUUACUGAUAUAGUAUAUUCAAUAUCCUUCUUCAGUUUGGUAAUCUUCCCUACGGAUUUCGAGCUAAUACAUGGCUUGUACCUCCAUCUGUUGCUGAGUCUCCAUCAAAUUUCCCAUGCCUACCGGCAGAAGAUGAGAAUUGGGGUGGCAAUGGCGGAGGCCAGGGAAGAGAUGGAGAACAUGAUUUAUGACCAUGGGCGACGGAAUUUGCUAUACUGGCUAGGCUUUCUUGCAAAACUGAAGAAGAGAGGGUGGUUAGAGAUCGGAAGGCCUUUUUGCUUCAUAACCAAUUUGUUGAUGUCUCAAUUUUGAAAGCUGUUGGAGCAAUACGCCGUCUCAUUGAUUCAAAUUUACAUACUCAAGAUAUAAUCAAUGUCCAAAAGAGGGCAAUCUUGCAUGAAGAUCUUGUGGGAGACUUGCCCAUUACAGUAAAACAUGAUACAGUAGAUGCAAGCUGGAUGUCUGAGGUUACUAUUAAAGGAAAUCAGUCAUCUGGUAUGUCUGCUGCAGAAGUUGCUCAAAGGAAUUUACUAAAAUGUGUUACUGCAGAUGAGAGUGUAAGUCGAUUUCUCCUUUACUUUUUAUGCUUAUGUUCACAGAACACACACAUAAAAGACAUUCAUCAAUGCUGAAAUUACUUACGUGGGCGGAAUAAUAUAGCUCUACCUUUGUCAGGGAGUGAUUUUUCAGUCGGAUUAAGAUGUUUCCCUCUUUAUCUGAUAUCUGGCAUUUGAUGAUGGCCUAAAAUACCCAUCCUCUUCACUCUCUCUUUCUACACAUUUAUGAAUGCACAAGAAAGUCAAUUUUAGGUUCUUUCCUGAGAAUCACUACUCGUUACUAACCUUAUAUAUCUGGUUUAGCUUCAGGAAUCUUAUGUUGCCUUUCUGUUUGGUGACUCCCUAUUCUGUUGAAAUCACUUGAUAGCAGGUCUUUCUACUCAUUUUAUCCAUAUCCCUCUGAUUUUCUACUCGUAGUUUACUCCAGCUUAAUGUCUUGGGGAAGCCUAAUAACCUUGGUUGGGCAUGCUUGUAUUAUAUCAACUAGUGAUACAAUUGCUAAAGUUUUCAGCAUGGUAGAUCUUGAAAUAAAAUUUUCUUGAAAUAUCUAGAUUUAUUUUUCUCAAAAUAUCUAGAUUUAUCUUCCUUUUCUUUUUCCCUUUCUUUUAUUUUAGUUUCAAAGAUUUUGUGAUAAAGAGAACUGAAACAAUAUAGUUUUUUGGUAGGAUACCUCCUCAUUGGGUACUGUCAUUAUAAGACACUGUGGAUACACUGCUGUAGUAAAGGUUGUUGGUGAUGUGAAGGAGAGGUUUGGCACACGAGAUAUUGAAAUUGAAGAUCAACCUAAUGGUGGAGCUAAUUCUCUUAAUAUUAACAGGUGUGAAAUUGUAACACAAUGCUUCUUUUGUCGAUUCCUCUUAGCACACAAAGACUAGGAAAUCUACAGAUGGAGAAUGGCUGUAAGAUAUGAAAAAUUAUCUUUCAACCACUAACAGUUUUAAGCUAUUCUGCAAGAUAUCUUAGAAAUACUAACUGGUAUGAGCUUCUUUACUUAGUGUCUAUCACAGUUGAAUUCAUGAUGCAGAGCAUUGUUAUUCGCUUUAUUUUUACUAGAUAGAACAGGAUUGAAAUGCUGGUGUUGGGGAUUCUUAAGAAAGGAUAGCACCUGUUCCUUUUUCUUCCUGUUUGGGAUCUAAUCAGUAGAUGUCUAAAGGGCGGAACAAGUCCCUAAAGGGCGAACCGUAACAUCCUCCCCCACCUAAUCUCGCGGCGUCCUCAUCGCGAUCUUGUCCUCGCUCCUUUAGGGACUUGUUCCGCGAUUUGCUGUUAGUCUUCUUGUGCUUCACUCUUGGGGAGGUUCCGCCACUUGCUCCGCAUGUGGUCGUUUCCUUCUUUCGGUUGGUGUUGCGGCGGCCCCUCUUGUGUUUCCGCAACCCCUUAUGCUCAGAUGGCUUUGUGCGUUGCUAAACCACUCGUCUCGGUGGGAGCUUCAGAGGCAUGGCGUCCUUGCCUUUAUCAUGGACGGCUCGUGCUUGUUGUGGGACUUGGCUUGGAGGGCUUUUGGAAUCCUCUCCCUUGUGGUGUUGCCGGAUGGAGACCAAGUGGUCCAGAUUCUUCUUGAAUCCUCGUCUACAUUGCAUGACCGAGAGCGCCUUUUUUGUGGGUUGUGCGCGCUCGACCGGUAGCACGCAUGCCUUACUCUCAUCGAAGAUGCUAAGGGAGUUCAUUGCUGGAAGUGGGAAGGCAUGUACCUUGUCGAAGAAUUCCAUGCCAAGGAUCAUUGCGAAGUCAUCCAUCGGCACAAUUGAGAAGUCGAGCUUCCCAUUCCAUGUCCCAAGCGUAACGUGUACGCCUCGCGUGGUUCCCGCAAAUGGCUUGGUAGGUGAGUUUACAGCCUUGAUGGUGCCUCCGUGCUGCGUUACCUUGAGGCCUAGACACUUAGCCUCUUCUUCGGAGAUGAAGUUGUGCGUUGCUCCGGUGUCAAGGAGCGCACGAACGGUUUAGCCAUUUAUGAGCACACUUACGAACAUGAGCCCUUUCCUUGUAGGUGCUGGCGGUUGGCUCACGAGUGUGCUAAGAAGUUGGAGUGAGCCCAAGUUGUGUUGGGGUUCCUCCGCAGUCGGUGUGUGUUGGCCCUUGAGUUGUGCCACGAGGGCAUUAAGCGAUUUUUUCUCAGGGUAGUCGCACACCCAAUGAGGGCCAUUGCAAAUGAAGCAUGGGCUUCGAGACUUGGGUGGCUUCUCGGACUUACUUCGCCCGCCCUUACCGCUUGGAGGCUUUUUCUUGCACCACUCCUUGCAAUUGCGGUCGUUGUCCUCAUGGCUCUCUCCCCCACCUUGAUCGUAGCUAGACUUCUUAUCCUUGAGCUGGGCGGAGUAUUCGGUGAGCGAUUCCGCAAUAGCGAUGGCGUCGUCAAGUGUUUGAACACCCCGCCUAUCGAGCUCAAUCUUGGCCCAAUCCUUGAGGCCAUCUUGAAAGUAGAAGAGCGAAUCCUUGUCGGACAUGUCGCUUAUCUCCAACAUGAGGGUAGUGAAUUCGUUGAUGUAGUCCCGCAUGCUACCCGUUUGUUUGAGGCGACGUAAGCGCACUCGCGCUUCCUUUUCCGCAUUGCUUGGGGCGAACUGCUUUCGGAGUUCUUGCUUGAAGUCGGCCCAAGUGUCGAUGGUGCAAAUGCCCUUGCCCAUCUCGCCAUGCUUGCGAUGCCACCAUAGUUGUGCAGCGCCUCUAAGAUAGGUGGGUGCAGUGCCCACUUUCGAUGCCUCAUCUUGGACACCCAUGGCAUCGAAGUAUUGAUCGAGCCCAAAGAGGAAAUUAUCCACGAUUGUGGCGUUGCGUGUGCCAUCAUAGGUGUCGGGCUUUGGCACGUCAAUGCGGCGCGCAUCACUCGAGUUUGCGGAAGCUGGACUUGCGGAGAGUGUGCGCUUGUGCCAUGCCCAAUCCGAGCGGACUUCAUCCACUUCCGCACGGACAGCGCGUAGUUCGUUCUGAAUAAAAUUACGAAGUUUGAGCAACUCAUCAUGGAAAACACGAAACUCACCUCGAAGAGUGUUCGCUUGCUCUUGGAUGAGAGCUUUUGUAGCCAUCAUGAACUCGGCAUAUUCCCCCUUGAGACCGUCCACUCGUUCCUCCAAUCCCUCGAGGCUAUCUUGAGCGGCGGACAAUGUGAUUUCGAGAGUAGUCACACGAGGCUCCAACGCAUCCAUGGAUGGGGCCUUGGACUUGCCGCGAGUCUUGCCUUGGGCACGUUCUCCCUCUUGGUCGCGGCUUGGUUUCGGUGGAACAUUCACACCAACAACACCCUCUUGUGCUACGUUCGAAGGGUUGGCCAUUGCUCGUGAGCUAACUUGUGUGCGUGCAAACCUUAGCUCUGAUACCACUUGUCACGGGAUGAGUAUUUUGCGCAGCUAACCCGUGCAGUAAUUAGACAACUUUGCCGAAUGUUGCUAAGUAAGCCUAGAGCUUCUCGAACUAAAGAAGAGAGCAUUGGAGCCGAAUAAGAGAAAUUGUAUUGUACAAAGAGAGAUUACAAUGCUUGAGUUGCUUACAAUGCUUGUUGUAGUGUUUGUUGGAUACAAAUGCCUAAUGCCAUCCCAUAUUUAUAGGGGAGGCUUGCCAAGCUCUAGAGAUUCUAGAGAAUUCAACCAUUUCCUAGCUAUUUACAUGUGCUGGAAUUCUAUGGAGAAUUCUAGAGUAUUUACAAGCUCAUUUGUGCUAGAGUUGUCUAGAAGUUUCCGGAAUUGGGCCAAGCUAGCACUCUUGGCCUUGUGUUGGCUCUCUAGCCAGAAAUUGUGGGCAAUUGGGCUAGCGAAUUGGGCGGACCGUAACAACCUGCUCUUUUUUCUUUCUGUUUAGAUGGGAUCUAAUCAAUAGAUGUCUGAACUCUUAAGGGGAGUUGAUGUCAGAUUUCUAAACCAGGUUUUCUUCAAGUGUUAAGUUUAUGAAUAGGCCAAAGAAAAGAAAGCUGAUAUCUAGUUAGGGAUAUAUACUCCUCUUUCAGCAUCCUGUGUUCCAGAAAAUGGUUUUUCCUCUAUUAAAAUAUGUGUGAGAUCCUUCACUGUAAGGGGAUGCUUCACCUCUGCAUAGUUGUAGACCACCUAAAUAAUAACGAGUGGUUGCAGGAAAUCAUGGCUUUCACAAUAAUGGUUGAGUGUUUAUAGUUAUGUGCCCUGACAUUGGUUUGUAAUUGUUAUAUUAACAAAAUAACCAACAGACAUCAUUGAUGAUGUUCAAAUAAAGGAUAAAGGAAAGUAUAAUUACAAUGGAUCUCAAUUGCUGAAAUAGGUCAUCAGCUUUUUAGAUUGUGCUAUUUCAGAAAGUAUUUAGGCCUUCUUUGGUGGAUUCUGCCUUUGUUUCAUAUACUCUUAUGUCUUUCUCCAUUUAAGUUGUUCUGACAGGGUAAACUAUUUAUUGCAGCUUAAGGCUUGUGCUUCAGAAGUCUUUCAGUGCUGAAUCGGCUAGCGGAGACCAGUCACCUCUGUGCAAUUUGGAUAAUUCAGAAGCUUUUAGAAGUCUUGUAAGAAAGAGUUAUUAAACAGAGUUUAGCAAAGUUAGAGCUGGAGCCAACUGCUUCAGAAAGAUCUAUUAGAUGGGAACUUGGUUCUUGUUGGGUGCAGCAUCUACAAAAACAGGAAACUCCAACAGAUACCAAGUCAAUGAGGUAUGGGGAUUAUAUUAAGACUGAACAUGCUGUCAAAGGUCUUGGGAAGCAAUUUAAAUUUUUGAAGAAGAGGGAGAACAUACCUAACCUUGUUGGUAGCAUUAAUGAGGCUAACGAAAAUGACAAUGGACCGUGCAUCAUGAAUGUGGGAGGUAAUGGUAGACAGUAAAGCAAUGGCGAGCUGAAUUAUGAGAUGGAAUUGAAAAAACUAAUUUCUGAAGAAUCCUUCUUGCGAUUGAAAGAAACUGGCACUGGUCUUCAUUCAAAGGUUUCAGAAUCUCAAAUUUGUUUUGUAUUUCAACUGUAAAGUUUGCUUCUUUUUGUGUUUUCAUUACGCUAAAUUUGGUUUGUUUUAUUUUCAUAUGGAAUGACUGGUAAAAUUAAUUUCUUGUGCAGGCAGUGGACGAGCUUAUGAAAAUGGCAUACAAGUAUUAUGAUGACAUUGCUUUACCAAAGCUGGUACUAUUUAAUUUAUUUAGGGCCUUUGUUGCAGCCAAUUUAGACGUGUGGGGAUGGUUUAUGGACUAAUUUCCAUUCUUUAUUAGGUAACAGACUUUGGAUCACUUGAACUUUCUUCGGUUGAUGGCCGCACACUGACAAACUUUAUGCAUUUAAGGGGACUACAAAUGCGCUCUUUAGGUCGCGUGGUGAGGAAUUUCUCCCUCUCUUUCUCUCUCAGACAUGCAACCUAUUCACCCGUGGAAAUCGGAAUAAACAAAUUUUGUCUUUCUUUAUGUAAACAAAGCCCCUAAGUUAUCUUUCUAUAUGUAAACAACCUCCCCAAGUCUUCCUGGAUUGAAUUAUCAAUGUUCCUUUUUGAAAAUUGUACUACAUGAUAGAAUUUUUGACAUGGUUGACCUUUUCCAAAAUAUUGAAUUAUUGUCGUCUUUAGAUAUUACUGUAUGUUGUAUGACAUUACUGUAUGUUGUAUGACAUACAAUAUUUUGAGAAAUUGACAUGCUAAUACUUGAAAGCCUGGUAUUCUUCUUUUGUUGGUUCUAAUCCCAUUUACAAAUUCAGGUUGAACUUGCAGAGAAACUUCCUCACAUACAAUCACUUUGUAUUCAUGAGAUGGUUGCUCGAGUGUUCAAGCAUGUACUUAAAGGAGUCAUCUCAUCUGUUGACUAUUUAUCAGACCUAUCUGCAGCUAUAGCUUCUUCCCUAAAUUUCUUAUUUGGCUGUUGUGAGAUGGAAGAUGACCAAAGCUUGAAUGAAGAUCAUAUCCUUAGAUUGCAGUGGCUACAAACAUUUCUUGGCAGAAGAUUUGGUUGGUCCCUGAAAGACGAGUUUCAGCAUUUGAGAAAGAUUUCAAUUCUACGUGGGCUUUGCCAUAAGGUAAGGUCCUGUCUUUUCGGUUCCUUUGGCAGCGGAUUAUUUUC
rnacentral:lncRNA from 1 species